rnacentral:lncRNA from 1 species
UCUUAUUUCGAGGUGAUUGGGUCGAUGUUAAUACUGCUCGUGGAAUUAAGCAAGAUCAAUUUGGUUUCACAAUGGUGAACUUCGAUCGAUUAAUUCACACAUGACAACAGUUGAUUGAUGAGCCGUAUGUAUUUUCUUCUCAAGUCAAACAAGUUUUUUACUCAAAAGAUCCAACUGAUGAGGGUUGGUACGUUGUACUCCGUAACAUCCCUAGAGACUUAUUUGACAUGGGCAGUGGAAGUAGAGAUGGCAUUGACGACAGAACACAAAACUUUGCCCUUUCCAGAACAAAACUUAGACGAAAACAUCCCUAGUAUUAGUACACAAUUUCAAUGGGUCCGCCAGGAUACGGAUGAAGAUAAUUACGAAUUAUAAUGUAGUAAGCUUUUACAAUUAUUUAAUUAUAUGUAAUAUCACAAUAUAAAUAUUAAUCUUAUUGUAUAUUUCAACUAAGUUUUCAAAGAUUUCAUUUGUAUUGCAGAUAAAAUGCGGCGACGAAAAGUACGACAGCUAAGCCUGGUUCCAGGUACUCCAAACUCUGCGGAAACAAAUAGCACUGAUCAACAGACUGCUAUUGGGUCUAAGAAUAUUUUUAUUACACCUAAGAAACCUACAGAAAUUCAAAGUACUUUAACAUUUAAUUUAAAUGCUUGUUGACUUCUUGUUUGUUUAUUUUUAAAAUUCUUAUAACAAUAUAAAAUUUUUCAGUUGAAAAUGGUGGGACGCGGAGAGUUCGAGGGCGUACGCUACUGAGGGAUUUAUACGAGCUAGAUCCAGCCGAGCGUGUCAAAGUAUGCAGUAAUAGCUUUGGUCAGCCUGUUGGAUCAGAAGCUCGUCUUUUAGCAGGAUACUUGGGCAUUCUAGCACGGAAUGCAAAUAUGUUGCCAAUUAACUUCGAGACAUGGCGACAAAUGCCCGAUAGUAACAAUAACCAAGCUCUUGAUAACGUUAAGGUAACAAAAUGUUAAUGUCAUUUAUAAUGCUUGGGUUUAAGUUUCAAUUAUAUUAACUUUCUUAGCUUCUGUUCUUUGUAGGCGAGAUUUGCUCUAGAGGUCUCCGAUGCUUAUGUAAAAAAGGCAUUGGGAAAAAGAUGGAGAGACCAUAAGAGCACAUUAAAGAAAUACUAUUUUAAGACAAAAACAACCCUGGACGAGAGAUUACAAAAUGUCCCGCCAGGAAUGCUGAGGUAUCAAUGGGAAGAGGUCGUUAGAUUUUGGACUUCGAAGAAAGGAGAGUUAUGUGUUACUAAAACAAUCUUGUAAUUAUUUUGGUUUAUAUUAUUUAUUAAUCAACGUACUAAUAAUUUCAUAACGUAGGAUCGUGAACAAGUUGGAAAAUGUAGUAGGCAGAAACAGAAAUUCACUCACACAGCUGGGUCCAAAAGUUUUGCUUGUGUAGCUCACUCUGAGGUAUUUUGAACUUUGUAAUUCUGUCAGAUUUUUAUUACUUUCUAUCAAAUAAUAUUUUUACUACUGUAUUAUAGGAACUGUCGUCCGGUCAGAAAGUUGGACGCCUUCAACUUUUUGACAUUACACAUAGGAAGAAAGAUGGGAACCCUAUGACUCCUGAAGCUGCAGAAAUUCUGGUACGUUUGCUUAAUACAAUUUGACUUGUUUUAAUAUUUUACAGUGUAUAUUUUCUAAUGGUUUAUUUCAUUUCUUGUAAUGCAAAUUUUGUUAAGUUAUGUUGCAUUUUUUUAAUAUAUAUUGCGUUCCUAACUAUGUGAUUUAUUGUUGUAGGAUAAACUAAAGGAUAAAAAAGCGGAGUACGAAGCGAUUGCUUCUAGUGAUAGUUCUGUUCAUAUUGAAGACAUUGAUAAUCGUAUUAUCACUGAUGUUUUGGGUCCUGAAAGGUACGGUCGGGUUCGAUUUCAAGGAUCUUUUGUUAGCCCAACCCAAUAUUUUGGAUCUAGCUCGCAACAAUACAUGCCUUCGGGGAGUCAGGCUCAAGCUGAAGUCUAGAGGUUAAGAGACUAGAUGGCUCAGAUGCAAGCCACAACAGUUGACCAAAUUACACAACUUAAAGCGGAGGUAGCAGCGAGAGAAGCUGAGGUUCAACGGAAGUAUGAAGAACUCCAGAUACAGCUAAAAGCAGAAGCGGCAGAGAGGGAAGCAGAGCAGACUAGAAAGUACGAUGAACUCCAGUAGCAGCUUCAGAAUAUGAUGAAGAUGUUUCAACAGUCGCAACCACCGUCGUCUUAGACUAUCGUGUAAAUUUUUUUUAUCAUUUUAACUUUAUAUUAUCAUUUUACCUUUUAACAUAUUUGUAAGAAUAAUAUGAAUUUUAUUUCAUUUAUUGAUAUUUAUUAUAUAUUAUUCAUUUAAUUUUAAAUAUUAUAUAGAUUUAUUGUUUUGGAUUGGUUUAGAUUUUAGUUUCUUCUGAUUUGUUGUUACAGGAGGUCUAAAAAUAUAGAAAAUAUUCUUUUAUAAAGCUGCUCAAUUUAGCGGCAUUUGUGGGAGAAGUGCCGCUAAAGGUUAAUGCAUUUAGUGGCGUUUUUAUGAAAAGCGUCGCUAAAAGUCAAGGUCUUUUCGCGGCGUUUAUGAGAAAAGCGCCGCUAAAACCCAAUGCCUUUUAGCGGCGUUUGUGAUCAAAGCGCCGCUAAAGGUCAAGGUAUUUUGCGGCGUUUGUAGUGGAAGCGCUGCUAAAGAUAAUAACCUUUAGCGGCGCUUAAGUCACAAACGCCGCUAAAGAGCUUAACUUUUAGCGGCGCUUAAGUCACAAACGCCGCUAAAGUUAACGACGCGGUCAAUAGCGGCAUUAUUUGCGGCGAUUUAUAAAGCGCCGCUAAAAGUGUUUGCGACGCUAAAAAGUGCCGCUAAAGGCCUAAAAAGCGCCGCUAAAUCCCUGUUUUGGUGUAGUGAUUCCAUUACAACGAACCAAACGUAGUGUAAAUACUAACAAGUGUUGGGUGUAGUGGUAAGGCACAUUGCAUUUUCAAAGGAGAAUCCAAGUUUAAAUCUUGAUAAUAUUAUUAGGAGAUACAACCACAAACCCUGAACAUUGACAUAUUUAGCGACUGUAUUAUUUAUAAAUAAUAAUCAAUUUCAAACACUUUUUUUAAUUAAAUAAUAACUCAAGUCGAGCAAUACUCAAAACUGUAAAUUAAAAUAUCGUGUUCAAGACUCAAACUAAACUUGCAUAAGGUUACAUUUUGAUAGUCUCAUUAAUAUAUACACAUAAACAUAAAUUAGAAGUGUUCAUGAGUCAGUUUCAUAUCUUCUUUUAUCUUACAAUGUUAGGGGAGGGAGAAAGAAAUAUAUAUAUAGCUAACUAUAGCGUGUCUAGGCCAUCCAUAUUAUUUGUAUUUUUUUAAAAAUAUAUUAUUUUUAUUUAUUAUUGAGUAAUAGUAUGUAUAACACUUCUUUUAAAGAAAGAAUUGUAUGAAACUGUGAUUCCACGUCAUCUUUAUCCCUUUCUAAUAGUAAAAUGACAAAUUAGAUUUUUAUUCCUGAUUUUUAGCAUUUUUAGUUAGAUUUGAAUUUUUUCAAGAGGAAAAAGUUGAUUUGUCAUUCUCUUAUUAGAAAGAGAUAAGAAUGACGUGGAAUCACAGUUUCAUAAAAUCAUUUCUCCUUCUUUUAUUACCGUUAUAUAUAUUGUUUAAAAAUAAAAAAAUUAAUAUUUUUAAUAUUUAUAUUGUAGUGUAGUAUAUUGAAUUUUUGUAUGAUAUAAAUUACAUAAUAUAUAAAAGAAAAAAAACAAUAUAUUAUAAAAUUGAAAAUUAAGGAAUCAAUCUGAAUAUAAAAACCCAAAAUCAAUUCAUAUUUUAAAAGAAUAAUUUUCUUUUUCUGUGAAACAAAUUGGAUUAUUGUUUCCCCACAAAAGAUUACAAGUUAGAGUAUGAAAAUUUUGUCGGCGAUUUUGAAAUUGACAUUGCUGAAGAAUAUAAUCUAGAGUUUGGCAGCAUGAAAUCCCAUUUCAAUGCACUUGGGACUACCAUCCCUAUCUUCUCAUUUCUCCAUUUCUUUUCUAUUAUCCACCACGCAAAACUAUGUAGGGAAACAUUAAAUGGGGACAAUAAUUCUUUUUCUUUUAGUUUAUAUAUUUUAAUUUAAUCAAUUUUAGUUUUUAUAUUUUUCGAAUUCUUUAAUUUUUUUUUAAAUUGUAAUCUUCACCCAAAUAAUAUCAAUUAAAUCUGCUUGGUCAAAUUCUACUGUUGUUUGAUUCAUGUUUUUCAAUUUGAUCAUUUUUAGUCUUUAUACUUUUGAAUUUUGAAAUUUCAGUCUUAACUCAAACUAUAGUUGUUAAAUUCAUUAACUAAAACAACAUGAUAAUACGUUUGUUGCGGAGACUUUUGAAAUAGUUAAGAUUAAAAUUUCAAAAUUAAUUUUAAAACUAUAAUAUUUUUUGACAAUAAAAAAGUUACCUAAAUUCAAAGAUUUAUUGGAUAUAUCUGAAAAUUAGAACAGGAUGUUGGCAAUGUUUUAUUAUCAUAUAACAAAAAAUGACAGAAUUCCAUCUUAUUUGGAAUCACAAAAUCCCUUGAUUAAUUCCAUCCAUGAAUAGGUUUAGCAUUUAAAUUUGGUUAGUUUUAUGACAAAGUUGUUCAACAGAAAGUGUAUUAAUUUAGUAAACUUUAAUGAAAAUCAAUCAACAAACUGGGUGAUUCAGAACUGUAAAUAUUUUCUGUUGAAACAAACAUGUCAUUUAAUGUUAAUUAAGGACCUUGACUCCUCAACUAAAUUGUUCCAACCUUUGCAAUGAUUUUAUUGUUCAUUAAUCUCCACAAUGAUGUGAAACCUUAACCAUCUCAUUUCAAAGCCACUCAUAUCAUCAUUUAUCAUCUUUACUUUUGCAUACCUAAAUUAAAUUACCAUCAUUGCCAUGACUGUGCUUCUGCUCCAAGAUUAAGCUGUUGUUGUAGGAGUAAAUUUGGGAGUUUUGCUUAUUUUCUGUUUUUUUGUCCCAUUGCUCACGAAAUAUGUUGUCGGCUAUGAUUAUAUAUACAAUCAUAACAUUGUUUUUUCUAAGUUACGGGUAAAAAAGUUACAACUAAAAUUUAUAAUACAACCAUGAAUUUUUUAUAUAAAACUUAGUAAAUCAGGAUUAAUUCUAUCAAAUCAUCAAGAAUAAAAUUUAGAUGCAAAAUCAUAUUUAAACUUAUUGUGAUUUUGAUCUUCUAAAUUACCAUACAAAUAUCUUACACAAAGUGGCGUUCUUUUUCCUGAAUAUAUAUGGGAUGCCAUCCCUAAUACAUAAUUUCUACACUUUAACCUUAAAAUCUAAUCAAAUCAUCAUCAAUUAGAAAUUAGUUACUAGAGCAUUUACAUAUAUUGGGCCUAUGCUUUAUUAAAUAAUUUAAAACCUUAAUCAAAUUAUAUCACUUUUAAUUUGAGCUAAGUUUUUUAGCAUAACAAAUAAUAGCAUGUAAUUAUUCUUCUUAUAUAUGUGAAAAUUGACAAAUUAGCCCUUAUACAUUAGAUGAGUGAGCAAAAACAACUCAUCCAUUAAAAUUUGGUGUUUAUAUGUAAGGUAUAAUAACAAAUUUAACCAUCAACCUUUACACAUUUAUUCAAUUUGACCCCUACUCAUUUGUUGAAAGUAAAUUAAUUAGAAAAUUUUAAAAUUAGUAACUUUUUUUUAAAAAAAAUCAAUUAAAAUAUUUAAAAAUUUAAAAAUUAUUUUAAAAAAUAAAUAAUAUUAUAGAAAGAAUAUAACUAUUUUAAAAUUUAAAGAUCAAGAUAUGAUAUGAAUGAACAUACUUAAAAUUUCAAACAAAUGUUCACCUUAUUUUUCCAAUGUAUCAGUAUUAUUUAUGUCAUUUAUACAUUUAUUCAAUUUAACCUCUACUCCUUUAUUAAAAGUAAAUUAGAAAUUUUCAAUUUUUAAAUCAGCGUUAUUUGUGUCCUUUUUCUAUAUAUUUUUGCUGAAAUGGAUGUAUGUUUUGCAUUCUUCAUUGCAACAUAUAUUACAUUUUAAUCCAUCCAAGUUAAUAAGAAUGUUUUAGCAAGAAAAAAUAUGAUGCAUUAUAAGAAAAAGAAUUUAGACUUUGAAACUUGAUCGGUGGAAAGAGUGUAUAAAAAUUUAGUUCAAAAAUAAAUAUUUAAUUAGUUUUAAAAUAAUGUUAACUAUUCCCUCGAUAAUUGUAUGUACACGAUAUCGUUAUCAAGUAAUAAUUACAAAUAACUUCAAUUAAAGUACUUAACUCGCUAAUUUACUAAGCUACUGAUAUAAAUGAGAAAACAAAAUAAAUAAAGUAAAUAUCAAUAAUGAUUAAGAAGAGUGAAAAUGCAAUAGUCAUGUAAUUACGAUUCAAUCUCAAUUCAGUAUUGUAGUUAAAGAUUUUCUUUAAUUAAUGAUAAUUAAUAACCUAUUUUAGAUUCAACCAAAUCUAAGUCUGAUAACCUAGAUGAGCCUCCAAAUUUAAGCCAACACCUUUCGCAACGCCUCUAACUAACUUAAUAGUUUACCAACCUGGUCCUCAGUUGGCCGUUUUACUCGAAACUGAUCUUGGGUAAUUUCUAACUUAUCGCUAUAGUGGAGUAGGCAACUUACUUUCCUUUUAGAAUUUCCUAUCACCUAGAAUUAACACAUAUACUGAUGCGGAAACCCGGAUCUAGACACAAGAGAACACAAAUUAGAAAUAAAACGAGAAUAAAUAAAAUUAGUUAAAUAAUAAAUAAAUAAAUAAAUAAGGAUAGAUUUGUCCUAUGGAACCCUUGGUUAACUUGUAACCAAAAACGCCAAUGAUUGAGCGGCUCCCUACGAAACCCCUAGAAGAAGAACCUCUAGAAACACCGAUGAACGGGAAAGAAAUUUGAAUAUUUGCAACUUCGAAAUACCCUCGAAAGUAACAAACUCCAAACUAAAUAGCAAGAGAAGAAUCACUCUACUCUAAAAAAAAUUUGCCUCACACAAAUUUGAAAAAAAAUAAAUACUCUUCUUUUUAUUCCUCUUUCAAUGUGUAGAAAACAAGCUUAUCUAUAGGCAAAUUACAAGAGUAAUUGAAUCCUAAUAAAAACUCUUUAAAGAGUAAUUGAAUCCUAAUAAAACUCUUUAAAAUUAUCUAAGAAAAUAAAUAAAUAAUAACCUAACCAAUAAAAUUACUUAACUCAUAAAUGAUGUGUCCCAACCAAUGAGAAUUAAGUAAAUAAUAAUAAUAAGAUACAUAAAAAAUUAAUCCACCAAUUUAUGGGCUUUUACUAUUCCAAGAUUGGUCCAGUGAAUUGCAUUCCCAUAUUUAUCAAUGUCACGAACAUGAUGAAUUAAAUUUGUCGCAACAAAGUCUUGGACAAAAGCAUUCAUCUUUGAUUUUAAUUGUCGUGCCUUGCUUCGAGUGAUUGGACCACUAGGAAAGAUAACCCUUUGAGUGUCACCUCCUUGGCUCGUAUCAUUCUCCCCCUCUUCAAGAAGAUUCGUCCUCGAAUCUGAACUUGGAAUGGUCCAUCUCCUCGUGCUUCAAGUUUAUUCUUUCUCUUAGAAGGAAAUACAUCCUCAAAAUCCUGCAAAAGAUUAACAAAACAACUAGGCAAAUAUGUAUUAGGGUUAGUCAAAACGAAGUUUUCCCUAAACCUAAUAAUUACAAAUGUUUGUUUUGUACAAGGAGCAAAUUUGAUAUCUCGAAACCUAGCGAAUAAACUCACUUUCUCAUCUCGUGACUUGUGUGUGCAAUCACUCACCAAUGUUGGGCCUUUAAGUUGGCUUUUAACACUAAGGGCCUCUUUACUCUUAGCCUUUUUCAAUGAUUUUACCUCACUUCCCUUACCCAUCUCACUAGCAAGUUUGAGUUGAUCAUUGUAGACUUCUUGAGGAGGAAGUGGAGCCAAAGUAAACUUCUUUCCAAGGAAUACAAAAGUAUAUUGGUUAAGGAAACCAUCAUGAUUUACUCGUCGAUCAAACUGCCAUGGCCGUCCAAGUAAUAUGUGCCCAGCUUGCAUUGGAACAAUAUCACACAAAACUUUAUCAGAGUAUCUACCAAUGGAAAAUGAAACUAAGCAUUGUUUAGAUACUUUUACCUCCCCACUAUCAUUCAGCCAUUGCAAGCGGUAUGGCCUUGGAUGCUUCACACAAGGUAGGCCAAGUUUCUCAACAAGCGAAGAACUCACCACAUUGGUGCAACUUCCACUAUCGAUGAUCAAUGAACUAGGUUGUCCACCAAUCAAACAUCUCGUGUGGAAAAUGUUAUCUCUUUGUUCACGCCCUUCCUCUUUAAACUGGACAUUUAAAGCCCUUCGAGCAACAAGUGCUUUCUCACCAUACUCUAAGUAUUCUUCAUACUCAUCAUGAGCAUGCACAUCAUCAGCAUCUUCCAAAGGAGGCAUCUCAUCUUCAUUAUCAGACUCAAAAUCAACCUCGCCAUCUUCUCGAAUCACCAAUGACUUUUUAUUAGGGCAUUCUCGAGCAUAGUGACCCCUUCCUUGGCAUUUGAAGCAGGUAAUAUCUUUUGGCUGCUUAAUGGCACUAGGAGAAGUAGAAGAAGAAGAUGGAGCUUGAUUAGUAAAAGUAGAACCUUUAAAUGAACUAGGCAUACCUCUAUCUUUGGAGUAAGUUCUAGGCUCAUUUGGCUUGAACCGUGCAUCUCUCCCAUUCCACAAUCUAUCAUCUUGUUUUUGCCAAUUUUCUCUCCAAGCAGGAUUAGAAACUGAACUAGCACCUCUUGGUGUCCCUUUCUUUCGUAAUUGCUUUUCAAUGGUGAGUGCAAUUUGAAGCAUCUCUUCAACAUCCAUGUAGUGUUGUAACUCAACUCGAUUUGCAAUCUCAGGCUUUAGGCCGGCAAGGAAUCUAGCCAUAGUUACCUCAGCCUCUUCAACAAGAUUGGCUCUAAUCUGAAUAGUCUCCAUCUCUUUGUAGUAAUCAUCCACAGAUCUAUCUCCUUGAACAAGAUGUUGGAGUCUUUGAUGGAGUUCUCGAUAAUAUUAUGGUGGAACAAACUGUUUUCGUAAGAUGCGCUUCAUUUCAACCCAAGUAGUAACAGGUUGCUCUCUAUAAAGAAUCCUGCUUUUACAUAAUUGAUUCCACCAUGUUAGUGCAUAAUUAAUGAACUCAGCGACAGCGUAUGUUACCUUUUUCUCAUCAGAGUAAUUGUAACAAGCAAAGAUUGCUUCCAUCUUUUCCUCCCAAUCAAGGUAAGCAUCAGGAUCAUUCUUCCCUGAGAAAGAAGGAAAUUUUGGUUUGGGGGUGUCAUUGUUUCGUUCCACCCUUUCUCUAGGUACAUACUCGGACUCAAAGUCAUCAUCAAAAACAUGGUUCUCCCUUCGUUUAAAAGUUCGAUCGCGCGAAUUUGAUCGGCUUAUAAAGGCUUCGUUCAACUUCUUGUAAUUAUCGGCAAUGUAUCUCUCUUGAGUUGUAAGUUUUGUAUCAAGAUAUUCCCUUUGCUCUUGUAUCAUCUGGGUCAUGCGAUGUUCGACUUGAGUUUGCAACUUUUUCAUCUCUUUUUGUAACAACUCGACCAAAGGAUCGUUAUCUCUUUUUUGCUCAUCCUCUUCAUUUUUACUAGUUUGGGAUCUAGUGAUCGGCAUGGUAUCUGUGAAAAAAUCACACAAACAGGAACAAGAAAUUAAUAAUAAUAACCUCACUCGUUAGCUCUUAAAAGAACAACUCUCUGAAUGAUUCAAAACUUGUAAAUAUGUUUGGAGAGGGUUACUAAUCAAGAUCAAAUAAUGGAGGUGCAAACUUCAAAGAAACAAUGAAGAUCCUAAUUGCUUUAAGAGGCCAAUAAACUUGACGAUGCAAUUUGUAAUGGAGGCUACACGGAUGAAGGAAUUGUGCGUGCCUUUAAUAUGUAUGAAAGGUAGGCAACUUUUAUUUUGCGUUUUUUUUUUGCUUUUUUUUGCGCUUUUUACUCUCUCUUUUUUGCGCUUUUUUUUGCUUUUUUUUGGCGCUUUUUACUCUCUAUUUUGCGCUUUUUUGCUUUUUUGUUUUUUUUUUGCUGUUUUUGCUGUUUUUUUUGCUUUUAUUUAAAGAAUAAGAAGAGAAUAAACACAAACUUAUUUUUAAAAAAAAUUGACGAAACCGAUGAAAAGUGUUUUUGGUAUUUUGACUCGUUUCGGAUUUGAUUUUAGCUUCAAAAAUAACACCGAAUGGCCUGAAACUGAUACCAAUUGAUGCGGAAACCCGGAUCUAGACACAAGAGAACACAAAUUAGAAAUAAAACGAGAAUAAAUAAAAUUAGUUAAAUAAUAAAUAAAUAAAUAAAUAAAUAAAUAAUGAUAGAUUUGCCCUAUGGAACCCUUGGUUAACUUGUAACCAAAAACGCCAAUGAUUUAGCGGCUCCCUACGGAACUCCUAGAAGAAGAACCUCUAGAAACACCGAUGAACGGGAAAGAAAUUUGAAUAUUUGCAACUUCGAAAUACCCUCGAAAGUAACAACUCCAAACUAAAUAGCAAGAGAAGAAUCACUCUACUCUAAAAAAAAUUUGCCUCACACAAAUUUGAAAAAAAACAAAUACUCUUCUUUUUAUUCCUCUUUCAAUGUGUAGAAAACAAGCCUAUUUAUAGGCAAAUUACAAGAGUAAUUGAAUCCUAAUAAAAACUCUUUAAAGAGUAAUUGAAUCCUAAUAAAACUCUUUAAAAUUAUCUAAGAAAAUAAAUAAAUAAUAACCUAACCAAUAAAAUUACUUAACUCAUAAAUGAUGUGUCCCAACCAAUGAGAAUUAAGUAAAUAAUAAUAAUAAGAUACAUAAAAAAUUAAUCCACCAAUUUAUGGGCUUUUACUAUUCCAAGAUUGGUCCAGUGAAUUGCAUUCCCAUAUUUAUCAAUGUCACGAACAUGAUGAAUUAAAUUUGUCGCAACAAAGUCUUGGACAAAAGCAUUCAUCUUUGAUUUUAAUUGUCGUGCCUUGCUUCGAGUGAUUGGACCACUAGGAAAGAUAACCCUUUGAGUGUCACCUCCUUGGCUCGUAUCAUAUACAUACAUCAAAAAAUUAAAUUGCAAUUGAAUCCUAUUUUGAUUACGACGCCAAUAACCUAUGGAUCUCCCAAAUGCAUAAGUAAUUUAACUCAUUCUAAAAUGACAAACAACAAAAGGUAUAAAAGUAAAACAUAUCCUCCAAAAGAGUUAUUGCCUGAGAGUUGAAUGUAGAAAAUGACUACAAAACUAAAACUAAGAAAACCCAAUUGAAAGUGUAAGAGAAAUCUCUUGAAGCCUCUAUGUUUCUACUAUUUACAAAGCUUUUCUAAGACAAAAUCUCCAUUUAGUUUGGAAAUAGAAUAAAAAGCAAUAAAAAAUAAUCUAAAUCUCAUUCUACAACUACCUAUAACUCAAAAUUAACUAAAAAUCACUCAACAACAAUGCAAAUGUGAGUGAAAAAAAGGCAUAAAAAUAUAAUAAAUAUUUGUUCAUCAGAACUCAGAUUAUAAAAAUAAACAAAAUAAAUUAUGUUAUAAAAAUAUUGUAUAUAUUAAAAUUUUAAAUUUAUUUAUUUUGACAUUUUAAUUUUAUCCCAUAUAUCAUAAUUUUUCCUUUUAAUUUUUUAAUAUUCCAUAGAAAAAUUAUUAUGCUUUCUUAAAGAAGAUACAAUUUAUUUUAUUGGGUUUACUUUUUAUUUAAAAAAAUUAAUUUAAAAUUUUAGUUGAUUAAAUUUACUUUUAAGAUUAUUUACCCUAGAUAAAAUAAAUUAAAAUCAUUUUAAAUUUAACUCCUAGUUGAUUUACUUCUAAUCAAAUUAAAUUCAUUUGCUAACAAUAUUUAUAUUAUUGUAUUGACAUAUUAAUAUAUAUAUUUUUUGAACAAUUUCAAUAUAGAUUUUGAUUAUAUCUACUCUCUUUUUUUAAAUAAUGUUUAGAACUACCCAUAACCCCUUCCACAACUAUGCACUUCAGCGCACUCGAACUCGUGUCCUCCCAUACUAGCAACAAUAUCGAUAUAGAAAAAUAUUAAAUAUAUUUUUUGAUUAUGGACAUACAUGUAAGGUACGUAGAACAAUGUUGUAUCCAUUUCACCAAAUUAUAUACAUUUUUGUCUAAAUUUGAAGGAUUAUUUAAACUAGAUUUUGAGCUUUUGUUUGGAUAUAUCUCUCAAAUGCUUGGGCAAAAACUUCCUACCCAACUGCAAUUGUUGUCCCUUCUAUUUCAUCAAAUCAAAAUUAGCUAAGCAAUUACAUAUGAUCCUAUGAGAGGUCAAUUUAUUAAACUUUAAUAAUAGCUUCAUCUCAUCUACUUGAUUAUGAUUCAUAAGUUUACCUCUCUUAAUUAAUUAAAUAGUUGUCCUUAAAACAACAAUACUCAACCAUACAUUACACUAUUUGGUCCAAAAGUAACUAAAUCAUUUAGUCUACCAAUAUCUUUUUUUUUACUAAUUAAAAAUAAAUAGAUAGCUCGCAUUUGAUCAGAACGAAGGGAGGGGCAGGCAGGGGGUAGCUCGCUUAAAAUUGGAACCCACCUUAUUCUAAACUCAACUUCAUUAAUUAGUCUUUCCCUUUCAUAAGUAUGAAAACAAUUAGGCCCUUAUCACACCAAACAAACAAAUAAGUAGAUUCCAUAUCAAAUAUAAACCCUAUAUUUUUGUUUCAAUUUGGUCCAUACAUUAUUUUUUUUAAAAAUUGGUUCCAACAAAAUCUACAUGACCCCCACUUUCACUUUCUUCACAUAAAGCUUUUUUUUUUUUUGGGUGUUUUAGAUUUGAUAAUUUUAGAUACAAGAUUAUUGAGUGUAGAGGUGAUCAUGGGCCGGGCCGGGCCCAGAUAAAAUUUGUCCAAGUGCGGCCCAAAAGAAAAUUGUUAAGCCCGAGCCUAGCUCAACCCAUAUUAAAUAUAUAUAUUUAAUAUAUAAAAUAUAUAUAUUUGAUUAAAAGUAAAUAUAUAUUUAAUAUAUAAUUCGGGCCGGGCCCAGGCUAAAAAAGUUUUACCCGAGGCCCGGCUUGUUUUCUAAACGGGCCUCAUUUUUUUACCCAAACCCAUAUUUCGGGCCUAUAUUUUUACCCGAACCCUCCUAUUUUUCGGGCGGACCGUCGGGAUGGGCCGGAUAGCCCAACCCAUGAUCACCUCUAAUUGAGGGCAUGCAUCUCUCUUAUUGGUGGAGAUAUUACUCCCAAGGUGUUUAUGUUCAGGUUUAGCCUUAAGUUUAUCUUCCUAUUCUAAGAAAAAGUCAAAGAAAUUCACGAAAUUUAAGCGGUAGCGUUUGAAUUUACUAAAGAAAUAUUUUAUAAUUUUGACUUUGGGAAUCCAUACCAUUAAAUAAAAAUAUGAAGCGGAGAAAAGCUUUUGAAAGUUAAAACAAAUAGUGUAAAUCUAGACUUUGGUCUCCCAUUAUUGUUGGGAAAAUGAUAGGAACUUGGAAUCACAUAGUCCACAGAAAGGUGCCUAAAAUUUUCAAAUUUUAUAUGCUAAAAUCACUUCUCAAGCUUCACUAUGAUUAUUUAGGACUAGCCAUUGAGCAAUGGAACUAUUAAAACCAAAUGAGGAAUAUAUAUAUAUAUAUAUAAGAAAGCAAGAUGCUUUUACUUAUACUGUCAUUAUCAGGUAAAAGUAAAUUUAAAAUUCAAAUAAAUCUCAACUAUGAAGAUAAAGAUUGAUUGCUAUAUGUUGCAUUUGAAUUGGUCCAAGUCUGAAAAGGCUUUAACGUGAAUUACUGACAUAUGUAUGGAUUAUUAUUUAAUAAAUAGAUUUUUAAUUCUGUAAUUAAAAAUAUAUAUAAAUCUUUACCAAAGUAAAGCUAAAUUUGUUUUUUAUUUUAAUUAAGUUGUAUGUGGGGAUUACCUUCUUAAACUCAAUUUAUACAAGUUUUAAUUAAGUCCAAAUAGCUAACUUUUUGAAUUAAGUCUAACCAUUGUUAUUAAAGGAAAAACUCAUCUACUAUAUUAAAUUUUAUUAAUUCCUAGUUAAUUUUCUAAAACAAGUGCAUUAUGAUGAGUAGUUGUAAAAAUUGAAUUUUUUUCCUACCUUCCAAAAUCAGAUUUUCAAAUGAGAACUCUAACUCAAAACUAUUGAAUUUUUUUCCCUCCAACCAACCACAACUACAACCAAGAAUAUUCCCUAAUGUUGUAAAACAAAAAAGUUUAUAAAUACCCUUGGGUCUUUCCAUUACCAUGUGAAGAACUAAUGUUGCCUAUAUUUCACUUAAAAGGCAAAUUUCGGAAAAUGAUUUCUGAUUUUUUUUUAAAAAAAAAUUAAUAUAUAAUUCUACAUAAAAUAUUUUUCGUUAUUUGACAAAUUUCUUAAAAUUAUUUUUUAGAAGUUAUUUUUAAUGAAACAAAUACAACAUAAAUAUAUUUGUUACAAAAUAUUGUAGUAGCAUUUUUUUUUUACAAUCGAAAUUUAUUUUAUAAUAAGGCAAUAUUUUAUAACACUUAUAUAAACUUAAUAAUAAAUAAUAUUUAAUUAAAACUUAAUGAAAAUUACAUAUAUUACAUGUAUAAGAGUGGAUAUUGACACAUUAGAAUUGGAAGGAAUAAAUGAAACUAAACAUAAUUUAAACAAAUACACAUAUUUAUAUAAUUAAAAUUUUCAUAUUUUACACUAUAAAAUAUUUAUUAUUAAUAUAUUUAUAAUUUUAAUAUAUUAAAACAUUAAUAUAAAUAUUUUCCAAUAUUAUAUGAAUAAUAUUAUUUGAAAUUUAAAAUUUAAAAUUAUUAUUUUAAAUUUAAAAUUAUUAUUUUAAAUUUAUUAUUAAAAUAAAAUUUUAAUAUUAAAUAAUUUAUUAAAAUAAUAAUAUGUAUUAUUAUUUAUCAUAUUAUUAAAUAUAAAUAAUUAAAUAUGUAUGUUUAAUAAUAUUGAACUUUUUAAUAUUAUUUAUUAAUAUUCUAAAUAUUUUUAAAAAUUUAUUAUUAAUAUAAUAAUAUUAUACUUUAUUGAAGUUAAUUUUUAUAUAAAAAUAAAAUUAUUCAUAAAACAGCUUGUUUCCGAACUUAUGUUUCAAAAAAAAAGGUAAGUUAUUUUUUUUAAAAUGGUUUAUUUUCUGUUGACCUCAUUUUCUAUUGGUCGAAUUAUUUUUCGUAAAACAAAUAUAAAUAUAUAUAUUUUUCGUAUAUCAUUUUUUUGUGAAACGAACCCACCGAAAGUAACCAAAUUUAUUGCAAAAUCAAUUUAUGAAUUAGAACAAAUACUCGAAACUCGUACAACUCAUUUGAUGGUCAAUCGAAUUAGAACAAAUUAAUAUGAAUUUUUGUGGGGGGUUUGUAACCUCCCUAACUUGGCCUAGACGUUAGACCCGAAUUCGAGAGAUUACAUCAACCACUGAGAUGACCUAGAAGGGUAAUCGUAGUUUUUGAAAACAAUUAUUUUAAAACAUCUAUUUAAUUUAAUAGAAAACUUAGUUUAAAAGUCGUUUUUAUUAUUCUUUAAUAUUUUAAUUAUCAUCUCGCAGCGGAAAAGAUGGCAUUUAUUUACGCAUUUAAUAAAAUUGGGGUCCAUGCAUGCUAAUUAAUAAUCAGAGCAUAGUAUCUUAAGAAUUCAAAUAAAAUGUCAUGCAGAAUAAAAACAAUCCUAAGUCAUAAAUCCCAUGCCACAAUUUGAAAUAAAAUAUUACAGUCCUUAAAUAAUAAAAUAAAAUAAAUCAAAAGAUUAAGCCUUAAUAAAUUGGAAAUAAAAUAGACAAUGUCAAGACCCUUCGGGUGUCGUGCCCGCGUGCUAACCUGGUGGGUUAUCUGUAAGGAUGAAAAUUUAAUGAGGGUGAGCUUUGAAGCUCAGUGUAAGUCCAAUUACAAUAAAAUCAAUGUGACAGUUGUUAAGACAAAUUAAUUAACAUUGCAUAAAAUAAUCGUGCUUAGUAAUUUAGUUCAUAUUAUCAGAUUUUUCAAGUGCAACCAUCAUUAAUAUGGCAGAACUCACAAUAACAGUUUUCAGAGUUAACCAAAAUUCUCAGAUUUGCCACAGUAAUCAUAUUCAUGCACAUAUGUAUCAUAUCAUAAUUUUCCAUAUUUUUAUGCACAUGAUUUAAAUGCUGUCAUACAACUUUAGAUUUAAAUAGAAUAAACCCUACCCCACCGCUACACACCAAGAUGUGGAUAAACCACUAUUGGUUCGUAGAUAAUAAUUGCCAUUACUAUGGACACACAACAAGUCCCCGCGGUUGUGAUCCACCUUUGGCUAUAGGUUCACAGCAAAAGUCCUGCAGAUGAAAACUGCUUUUUGGCUGUAGAUUUUCUAGCAUAAACCUGCCAUUGGAAUUGACCUUUGGCUGUAGGUACACAACAGUUUGCAGGUAAGAACUGUCGCAUGGAUGUCACUUUGCACCACCAUUUUUCUUGCAGUUAGACUGCUUGUUUUUCCUCCGUACAUAUCGUCACAACCUAUGCAAUGCAUUAUGACAUAUUGAAUUCAGACACAAUAUGAUAGCAUUUAAUGUACUAGCACAAGGCAAAUCAAUAGCAUAGUCAUGAUUUUACAUGUAUUCUGUUUUUAGUAUCAUAGGCAUGUCAUUUCAUACAAUCGCAAGUAUAGAUAUAGUAGUAACAUAUACUAUUCAUAAUUCAUGAAAUUAUUCAUAAAUAAAAAUAAAUACUACAAUAAGUCAAUUAAUCCUGAAUUCUAGCAUAUUUUUUUAUCAUCAAAUAUCUAAUUGCAUAUUUUAAUUUACUAAAAGCAUUUCAGAACCUAUUUAGGGACUAAUCUAUUCAAAACAUAAAAUUUUGGGUCUAAACUAAAGAUUCUAAGUUACAAGAGACACACGGUUGUGUGAUCAGACCAUGUGGAAAGCCCUAGACCGUGCGGAGGGGUAUACGAUCGUGUGGCUAGGCCAUGUAAGAGGUUAUGGUCGUGUGGCAUUCGAAAAUUCAACCUAUAAGGGAGACACGGUCGUGUGGCAGGCCAUGUAAGGAGUCCUAGGUCAUGUGAGAAGCGAAAACAUAGGGAUUUAUGGGGGACAUGAUCGUGAGGUCCACACGGGUGGCCCUGUAGGACCAUGUGACUGGCCGUGAGGUCUAACCUAGGCUCGAUUUUACCUCGAUUUUCUCAUAAAAGAACACACACUUAACUUCCGGAGUUUCAAACAACAGUCCUCACGUCCAACUUUGAUCCAAGAUACCUACAACAAGUCUUUCAACCAAAAAUUACGCGAGAACUAAUAUCGAUUUUCAAGAUUUAUCAAACUUAUCAAGAUUUUUGGGAAAACUCGUAAAAGAUUUGUAAUUGAUUUGAAAGAUUUGACAAGAACGAUGUUUUCUAGAAUUUUCAGGUUCUACCUAAUUGGAAACAAGAAUACACCAAUCUUUGAUGGGAUUUCGAAGAUUAUCGGUGAUAGAUUUGAUGCUCGGAGGGAGAAUGGGUUAAAUCACGAAUCGAUUUUUAUUUAGGAUUUCAAAAUAUUAGUUUCCAAAAAAGAAUGUAAUUUUUUUAUGAAAAGAAAAAAUGGAAUAAGAGAAAAAGAUGUACUUAAAGAAAAGAGGGAAAAUUUAAGUUAGAGUUGAAAAAAAAGUAGAAACUCACGUUUAGCUUAAUUAGGAAGAGAGAUUAAGUAGUUAUGGUUUCAAUUUGAGGGAUUGAAUGGUAAAAUAACCCUUUUGUCGAAAAUGAAGAAAAAGAAAAAAAGGAAAUGAAUUUAGCAUGACUUAAACUUGAGUGCAAGGAAGAAGGAUAGUUCUAGACCAUUGAACUGUUACCCACACUAGAUUUAUUUUUACCAUAUUUAUUAAAUAUUGUAGUUGACAUUGGUUCCUUGGUUGCUGAAAUAAAAUAGAAGAAAAUGGGAAUAGUAGGGGGGUUUAAACAGUGGUUCUCUAAGGAGUAUCAUCUACUCUUAACAAUCAAGACUAAGACUCAUUUCUUGAUGAUUAAUUAUGUAAGACCCAAUUUCUGCCCGGGUCCAAAUAUUAAAACAAGAUAAAUAACAGUCCAAUUACAAAGGAAAAAUAAUAGCCCAAUGUAGCCCACAGCCCAAACUAAACCCUAGCCCAAAUCUAUUCACUUGUUUUUUUUUCAAAUCUAUUUUUUUUAAAAAGUUAGCAAAUAAGAUAAAAAAGAAAAAGAAAAAGAAAGGAACUACCUGAAUCGACCCCUGAAUCCGGCACCAUCAUCGGCCUUUUCGCCGUCACCGGAUGCGGAUUUAGGGGGAAAGCUCUCCUUGUUCUCCUCGAUUCUUAUUCCAAAGCUCGGACCCCUGAAUAUGCUUCAAUACACGGGUCGGAGACUCCUUCGCGCGACACCGGCCACCGGCCAUGGCGGCGAUUAGGAGCGGCUGAGAAAUGGGGUUAGGGUAAUUUGAGAAUCUCUGUUUUUUAGAAAAAGGGAAAUGGGGGCUGAUUGUUUAUUUAGGGUUUUAAUUUUUUUAUUUAUAUAAGAAUGUGCAGCGCCAUUUGAAAGCUUGGAGAGCUGCGCAUUAAUGCCCUAAUGGGUAUUUUACGCAAUUAGUCCCUCCAAUUCUGUGGACAUUCGAUGCACUCUCUUAUUUUACUAAAUUUCGGCCACAGAAUUUUGCGUCUGUUCCAAUCCAGUCCUGCGCAAAAACAAUGCGCAUAAGGGACGGGGAAUAUGCACAACAAAAUUUGAUCAAAGGUGGGGCAUGCGGUAGUCUUGCCCUCUCUGAAUUAAUAAGAAGGAGAUGCUACAUCUUGGGGCAUCAACAAAGUCUUCUAGGACUUCUAAACACAUAUCAGGUUCAAAAGGGUCCUCAAGAAGUUUGAGGCAGAGAAGCUCAUGCUACGAUAUUUGGGACACCUAUUUCCAUUUUAUUCAUUUUUUGUAUUUUUAACAAAAUACACCAUCUUGAUUAAUUUAUUCUCAUUUUGUGAUAUCUUGAUUGAUUCAUUCAUUUCGAGCUUUGUUCUCAACAAAAUUUCAUCUUGUCCAUUUUGAUAAUCUUUUUCAAGCAUUUUUCAUUGAAAUAACGAUUACUGGACUGACAAUAUUCGAGCAAAAGAAGUUUUACAUAUUACUCUGAAAGCUUCUAAAUAGUACGAGGACCUGAAACAUGACUAUUGUUUAGAACUGACCAAAACUGAGGGUUGAAAACAUUUGAGAAAGGAUAGUCUAAAUUGAGACUAUUUCUUUGAAUCUUCUGUCAAAGAUACUUGCUAAACGAGAAAACAUCAGUGAUAAAACCUUGAUGAACAACGAGGAAUGACAACCCAAGCAUUAAAAAGGGAUCAUUCUCAUGACAUUUUGCAUUCAUGCAAAAAUUAUUCAUACACAUCUGGUUAGGAAACUUUGAUUCAUUCUGAUCAUAAUAUCCUAACAUUAGGCAUAAAUAGGUUUAUAAAAUUGACUUUACAGGUCAUGUUCCCCAGAGAGCAGAUCAAUAGAUUUAUUCAUACCUCUGAGAUUGCAAUUAAAAAGAUUGAAGCUGCAAUGGUGAAUCUUACUUCCCUGGCGAUGCAGUGGAGCAGAUUAAAGCUACGACGGCGAAUCUUGCUUCCCCGACAUUGCAAUUAAAAAGAUUGAAGCCGCAACGGUGAAUCUUACUUCCCUGGCCAUGUAGUGGAUCAGAUUGAAGCUACAACGGUGAAUCUUGUUCCCCGACAUUGCAAUUAAAAAGAUUGAAGCCGCAACGACGAAUCUUACUUUCUUGGCAGUGUAGUGGAGCAGAUUAAGGCUACGACGGUGAAUCAUGCUUCCCCGACAUCGCAAUUAAAAGAUUGAAGUCGCAACGGCGAAUCUUACUUCCUUGGCGGUGCAGUGGAACAGAUUGAAGCUACAACGGUGAAUCUUAUUCCCUGACAUUGAAAUUAAAAAGAUUGAAGUCGUAACGGCGAAUCUUACUUUCCUGGCGGUGCAGUGGAGCAGAUUAAAGCUACGACGAAAAAUCUUGCUUCCCCGAUAUCGCAAUUAAAAGAUUGAAGCCGCAACGACGAAUCUUACUUCCUUGGCGGUGCAGUGGAAUAUAUUGAAGCUACAACGGCGAAUCCUAUUCCCUGACAUUGCAAUUUAAAAAAAUUAAAGCUGCAACGACGAAUCUUACUUUUCUGGUAAUGUAGUAGAACAGAUUGAAGCUAUAACAGCGAAUCUUGUUCCCCGACAUUACAGUUAGUUAGACUGAAGAUAGCAGAUGUUACCUUCCUAUAUUGACAGUGAAAUAGAUCGAAGAUAGCUAGUCUUGUCUUCCUGUAUUGGCAGCGAAGUAGACUGAAGAUAGCAGAUCUUGUCUUUCUGUAUUGGCAGUGAAGUAGAUCGAAGAUAGCAAGUCUUGUCUUCCUGUAUUGGCGGCUAAGUAGACUGAAUAUAGUAGAUCUUGUCUUCCUGUAUUGGCAGUAAAGUAGAUGGAAGAUAGUAAGUCUUGUCUUCCUAUAUUGGUAGCGAUGUAGACUGAAGAUAGCAGUUCUUGUCUUCAUGUAUUGGCAGUGAAGUAGAUCGAAGAUAGCAAGUCUUGUCUUCCUGUAUUGGCAGCGAAGUAGACUGAAGAUAGUAGAUCUUGUCUUCCUAUAUUGGCAACGAAGUAGAUCAAAAACCACAGAUCGUAUCUCUCUAAGUAGUGGUGGAGCAGACAAAAGAAACCAAUCCUAUCUCCCUGAAGUUCCAGUGGAGUGGAUUAAAACCACAGAUCUUAUAUCUCUGAAGUUGCAGUAGAGCGGAUCGCAUCUAGUCUUAUCUCCCUGAAGUUGUAGUGGAGCAGACUAAAACCAAAUCUCAUUCCCAUAGAGUUGCAGCAGAGUGGAUUACCACCACAAGCACAUCUCUUUUUGAAGUUGCAGUGGAUUGGAUCGAAGCAACAAGGCAUGGUGGACUGAAAUGGAGCUACUUGAAGAAGAGAAGCUACAACAAGUCAAGAAUCGACGAGACCAGGCAAAAUUGAUCUUUCUUGGUCUUUGUUCUAUUCUCGUUACACGACAAUAAGCAAAAAGGGGCAGCUGUAAGACCCAAUUUCUGCCCGGGCCCAAAUAUUAAAACAAGAUAAAUAACAGUCCAAUUACAAAGGAAAAAUAACAGGCCCAAUGUAGCCACAGCCCAAACUAAACCUAGCCCAAAACUAAAAAUUUUCAGCAAAACCUAGUGGCCUCCCCCAAACCCUAGAGCCGCAUGCCUCUGCCAGCCUCCCUCGCAUGCCGCUGCUAUCGUCACCGUUCCUCCACGCACACCUGACACCUGUAGAGAGAAAUCAAUGCAACCAAUAGAAUAAACAAAUAGCAAAUAGACAAAAAAAAGAAGAAACGAACAGUUCUGUAAGUCGGCUAUAAAAAGCCAUGAAAUAUCAAUGUAUCUUCUUCUUCUUCUAUUUUACGAACACACACCAGUCAAUCGAUACUCAGAAACUGAAUUCUAAAGGUUGAUUUUUUUUUGUAAACUGUUCUUUUCGUUUUUUUCUUUUUGUUAUUCUUUCUAUUCACUUGUUUUUUUUUUCAAAUCUAUUUUUUUUAAAGUUAGCAAAUAAGAUAAAAAAGAAAAAGAAAGGAACUACCUGAAUCGACCCCUGAAUUCGACACCGUCAUCAGCCUUUUCGCUGUUACCGGAUGCGGAUUUAGGGGGGAAAGCUCUCUUUGUUCUCCUCGAUUCCUAUUCCAAAGCUCGGACCCCUGAAUAUGCUUCAAUACAAGGGUCGGAGACUCCUUCGCGCGACACCGGCCACCGGCCAUGGCGGCGAUUAGGAGCGGCUGAGAAAUGGGGUUGGGGUAAUUUGAGAAUCUCUAUUUUUUAGAAAAAGGGAAAUGGGGGCUGAUUGUUUAUUUAGGGUUUUAAUUUUUUAUUUAUAUAAGAAUCUGCAGCGCCAUUUGAAAGCUUGGAGAGCUGCGCAUUAAUGCCCUAAUGGGUAUUUUACACAAUUAGUCCCUCCAAUUCUGUGGACAUUCGAUGCAGUCUCUUAUUUUACUAAAUUUCGGCCACAGAAUUUUGCGCCUGUUCCAAUCCAGUCCUGCGCAAAAACAAGCACAUAAGGGACGGGGAAUAUGCACAAUCGGUCCCCCAUGUCCUCAGCGCAUUUUGUUUCGGCCCCCUAGCCACCUGUUUCGUUUAUUUACAGUUUCGACCCCCAGAUUUUUGUUCGUUUCCAGUUUCAUCCUUGGUUCUUUAAUUUCUUUUAUUUUUUAUUUUUCUUUUAAAUUGCUCUUGUGUAUUAUUAUUAGUUUUGUUUGUUUUGAUUUCAUUCUUAUUUUCUUUCUAAACUGUGUAAUUUUUUUUUCUUUUAUAUAUAUUAUUUCAUUUAAAUAGUUUUAUUUCAUUUUUACGUAUUAUUCAUAUUAAACCAAUUUUUUUAUAUGUAUUAUUUUAAAUUUUCUUUUCUAUAUGACAUUCCAAAUUUUUUUUAUACCAUUUCCUUUAAGAUGUAUUAUAUGUUAAUUAUUUUAAAAUUGUUUGGUACCUUUUUCGAGUUUACUAUUUGUCUUAAUUUAUUUAUUAUCCGUUUCAAGAUUUCUUAUAUAUUCCUUUUUAUGCUUCCAUGUGUACAUAUAUAUUAUUAUUUAUCUUAAAAUUUUUCAUAUAUAAUAUUUUGAAAUUGUUUUGUAUAUGAUUGAUUUUUUUAAAUUUCUUUUUAUAUUAUUUAUUUAAGACUCAUUUAUUAUCUUUUUAAAAUUAUCUUACAUUUAUUUAUUCUAAUUUACUUUAUACUACUCAUUUCGAAGUUAUAAUGUUAUUUAAUUUAUUCAUCCUUUUUAUUAAUACUGAUGUUUAAAUAAUGUAUGUUGAGUGAUUAUUUUCAUUGUGUGUGCCAUUGGUGUAAUUUUAUUCAUGUAUCAUUACUUUAUGUUUAUUAUCGUAUUGUUAGUUCACGUCCUUGUUUUGUAAAUUAAACUCCGACAUAGUUAUCCAACUUAGAUUGCUUUAUUUUAUUCUAAGUGAGAUAAAUGCAUACCUUCAAAUAGAUUACCCGCUAUUAUUCAGGAUGGAAUUUUGUUGAAUGAGGCAAUAUUUUGCAUUUUGGAAAUUCGAGAAAUUGUACCCUAACUUAUUGGGUCUCGAUUUUCUCGUUAAACCUAAAUAGCAAAAUAUCCUUUUAAAUUUCCAAACACAUAAAAUUUCAAAAAUAAAGGUAAUAUUCUUGUAGAAGCCCAAAUUGCCCGGGCCCGAUUAUAUCAAAACCCGACCAAACCUCUAAACUCACUAAAACCCUUAACCCAUGACCCAUUUACAUCUAUCCAAACCCAUUACAAAACCCAAAUAUUAAACCCAAUUCAAAAGCCCAUUAAGCCCUCCAAAAAAAACCUAACCCCCCCCCCAAAAAAAAGAAAAAACCUAACCCCCCCCAAAAAAAAAAGAAAAACCUAACCCCAAAAAAAAAACCAAGAAACUUUAGCCACCUAGCCACUUUCCCACUUGCCCCAUUUUUCCUCCCAUUUUUGAUAUCCAUUGUCUACCACCACCACCUACAAAAUAGAAAAAGAAAUAAUAGAAAAUCAUGUAAAAGAUGGCUAUAAAAAGCCAUUCAAAAAUCAUGUAAGAAGGGGGAAUUUUGAUCAAUACAAAGAAUUUAUCUUCAAAAAAUACCUAAAGGUGAUUUUAUCUUCUUUAUUUUACUCUUUUUUUAUUUUUAUUUUUUAUUUUUUUUCCUUUUUUUGAAUCUAUUAAUCUAUAUAUAUACAUCAUAAUAAAAUAUAUAAUAAAAAUAUAUAUACAAAACAAAUAUUAAAAAAAUUACAUUUUUCGGCCACCACGUGCGGUGGCCGGCGCUGGUGACGGACGGCGGCCGACGGUCGGCCGGUGACCGGCCCCUGGCCGGAUUUACCUUCCCCCCUCCCUUCUCUCUCCCCUCUCUCUUCUUUUUCAUUUAUUUUUCGUAUUUACCUUGGAUUUCAUAUUAUUUUGCUAUUUAAUUUAGCUUUAAAUAUUAAUCAUGUUAUAUAUGUAAUAUUGUUAUCACUAUUAUUUUUAUAUAUUGUUAUUAUUAUAUUAUAUUUAGCUAUAUAUAUAUUUUCUUUAUGUUCCGUUUCCUACUAUUAUAUGCAUAUAUAUCUAUUAUUAUAUUUAUUAUUAAUAUUGUUAGCACUAGUACUUUUACUUAAUGUGUAUGUAGAUAUACAUGUACAUAUUAAUAGUUUUUUUAUCAUAUGUAUAUAUUGUAUAUAUUAUAUUUAUAUUAUAUAUAUUCUUAAUGUUAUUAGUUGUAUACUUCUUGUAUAUUUCUAUGUAUAUACUUUAUAUUGUCUCAUGUACAUACUCCGAAAUACUAUUAUACAUAUACGUAUUUUUAAUACCAUAUUGAGUAUAUAUUAUUGUAUUUAUUUUUAUUCCGAUUAUACUUAUUAUUAAUGUUAGUACAUAUAUUUCACCAUAAGUGUAUAUAUACCUUUUUGUGUAUAUAAUAUUAUUUUCGUAUAUUUAAUUAUUAUUCUAAAAAAGGGUUAUAAUAUGUACAUAUUUAUGAAGUAUUAUUAAUAGUAUUAUUUUUAAACAUCAUUGUUACUUCUAAUAUAUAUAUUAUGUACAUUUUUUAUUUCUAUUUUGUUUUUUUAUUUGUCAAUAUUAAUUAUUAUUAUUCUAAUAUUUUGAUAUUUUAAUAUUUUAUAUUAUUCACAUCACUAUUCGCAUUUUUUACAAUAAUAUUCUUACAUUUUUUACUAUCAUUUUAGAAACUUUUUACAUUUUAAUUUUAAGAAUAAGGCAAUGUACCGAUUUUAACAUUAAGUCAUCGAUUUCAUCGCUAUGUUGGGUGAAAUUCGUCGGCUUGUGUUAAAAAACGGGACACCCUUUCUAAAAAAAUCGAAAACUAAAAAUUCUCAUUUUUCAAUCGGAUCACGAUUAAAUAUUAUAUUGAACUCGUAUUUUUGAAAAUCAAGUCAACACAUGUUUAUGAGAUACCAAUUUUGGACGUCGCGAGGGUGCUAAUACCUUCCUCGCGCGUAACUGACUCCCGAACCCCAAUUUUUCUCUGGACUUUCACGUAGACCUAAAUUCAGCCUUCUUUUUGUUUUAAAAUAAUUUUAUUAGGUAUCCGAUCACACCUAUAAAAAAGGAUCGGUGGCGACUCCCUUUGUUAAUAAAAUCGAAAGUUGGUUUUCAAAUGUUUAAUAAAUCGCCACAAUUAGCGACCAAGCGAAACUAAAUUUUUUUUACGUCGCUACAGCUGGCGACUCCACUGGGGACACUUUUUGAGAGUCGAGUCGAAUUAAACUCGCGUUGUCAAAAUUUUCAAAGUUCCUUGUUCAAAUUAACAUUUAGUCGUGAUCCUCAAAUUUUUUGUUUUCAAAAAAAUCAUGCAUUUGCAUCGUGUUGUAUAUAUUCUAACUUGUUUUAUCCGGUUGUUUUUCAGCUUUAAAUUUUUGUGAUUUUUGUUUUGGUUUAGAUUUUCUAAAUAAAACGUAAAGGUUUACAAGUUUCUCCCCACACACCGUGCACGUGCAUUUAUGUUGCAUAACAUGAGCUCUAUACCCGGGCUCCGUCCCUGUUAAGAGAAAGUAAACGCUACGCCUUCGUGAGUUAACUCGUUCCUCCGCACAGGCUAGUGAAUACUUUCGGGUUACAUAUGACUUAUGCUUUCGUGAGUUAACUUGUCCCUCCGCAUAGGCAUAAGUAAAUGUAAUCCCUCGAAUUGAUCUCGUAAGCCUAUGAUGGGCCAUGACCGAGGCUCUAUACUAAUCUUAGUAGAUGACAGUGCAGACGAUUCGAGUACCCACCUAGAACCAAAACCGCAUAUAGUGAACCAUACGAGCUAUCCAAUUAGAGCCAUGCCGAACCUCUGUCCGCUUAUAAUCAUCAAAAUAAGUACACGGGGAAAAUGCCUUUUGCCUUUCAUUUACACUGUUUAUGCAAAAUAAUUGGAUUGGGUAGUUUAAUUUGUUUUUCAAAUUAUAUUUGUUGUGUUUACUAACCAAGUUUGUUUGUUUUUACUUUUAUUUUCAUCAUGCAUCAUAGGCAUCAUAUUAGGAAGGUGUUGAUUAAAAGUUGGUUGCCAAAAAAACGGGUUUCUGAUGGAGGAGUCAAUUACACAAAUAACCGAGAAGAAUGCCGUGGUUCGGGACUGGUCUCUAAAAAUUCAGAGAGAAAAGGGGGAUAGUCUAGUGGAAGGGUGUGUCGCUAAUUUGCCCGAACAUAUAACUGUAAAUGUUCGCCAAAAUAACUUUGAGGAUUUGGUUCGAAUUUGGAAUCAGUGGGAUUCAGACACUAGAGACAUUUUCACUGAGAGGUAUGGAGAUAUAGCUCACCUGAUCACCAUCCGUGUAGACGAAUAGUUGAUUCAAGCCGUGGUUCGGUUCUGGGACCCAGCUUAUCAGUGUUUCACCUUCAAUCAAGAAGACAUGACUCCAACCAUAGAAGAGUAUGCUGCUUUACUCCGCAUCGACAAUGUACAAUUCGGCAAAAUAUAUGUGAAGGAGCCUAAGCCGAUGACCUUCAAGAAAAAGUUAGUGAGACUGACAGACAUGACUGAUGCAUGGGCCGAAAAACAGAUAAAGAAGAAGAAUGAAACCAUUUGCAUUCCAUGGUCCUCCCUACGAGAUUUGGCUCUGAACCAUCCCAACAUGCUGAAAAGGGUAAAUCUAUUCGCUUUGGCCAUUUACUGUUUGGUCAUUUUCCCAAAAGUUCUCGGACAUCUCGAAGUUACAGUAGUUGAUUUCUUCGAAAGGUUAAAACAAGGAAUCAACCCUGUCCCGACCAUCCUAGCCGAGACCUUCAGGUCCCUGAGUAGUUGUCGUAGAAAAGGGGAGGGACGAUUUAUCGGAUGCGCGCAGUUGCUCAAUGUUUGGAUUUUGAGUCACUUCUGGAAGGUAGAGUGCAUUCUGUUCCAUAUGUUUUCUAAAACAUUCUCCCCGCUAGAAGCUUACCUCAAUAAAGAAUGGCCGAAGGAAGUCACCGAGCAACAUUGGGUAUCAGUUUUUCAGAAUCUUCGCGCCGAGAAUAUAACAUGGAGAGCACCCUGGAUCCGUCCUUCAGUUCUGCUAUACAAAUGUGGAAGCCAAGAUUGGGUACCAUUACUCGGGUUAUGGGGAGGAGUUGGAUAUGCUCCGCUAUUAGUCCAAAGGUAAUUUUCUUCGCGACAAUUCCUCCCCGCAACUGGAGGAUUAGCACAGUUCGAGUUCGCUUUCGCGGGUGAAGGAUAUAUGAAGAGAGUCCGAGACACUGCAAAGUAUUGGAAGGAAAUUCAUUUCAUGGAUUUAGCUUUGUAUGUUGAUACCCUUACCCAAGAUUACGACAUAUGGAGGAAACAACGGGUAAAUAGUCAGCAAAUCUCAUCAACAAACUACACCAUCCAGAAUCCUUUCUCGGAGGAAACGCCGUCUGAGCUAGAAAUGGCAAGACAAGAAUUCGAACGAGAAAAGGCCAAGAUGUCUCGGGACCUUAGUGCCCUUCAAGAAGAAAACUAUCAACUGAAGAUUGAAGUUCAGGUUGAAAGGUCCAGGACUGAAAAAGUACAAAGAGAAGCCGAGAUUGUGAGAAACGACUUAAGGGACCUUCAUUUGGAAAACAAGAAAUUAAGAAACACUAUAAAGAAUAGCGGGUUGGGCAAGUCGACAGUAGAAUGGAAGGAAGAAAUUAGCAAUAUCAAGGGAGGAAUGGAGUUUUGGAAGGGAAAAGCAAAGAAAGAGGAGGAAAAGGCUGCGCGCGCUGUGAUAGAGUUAAGAAGGAAGAACACCAAGUAUGAAAUAGUGACUGCAAAAUUGGCAAAUAGUCAGUCUGAACAUCAAGAAUUAAAAAGGAAAACACGAGAUCUAGAAAAUAUGCUGCAAUCUCGUCAACAACAAUUAGAUAACCUCUUGAAGGCUCUAGAAGAAAAGAGUGAGCAGUACGAUAGGGACAUUCACGCGUAUGAAGGAACUCUCAAAGAAAAAGAAAUGCAACUUGACUUCUUGAUCAAUGAAAUUCGUAAAGCGGCUAUGCAAGUUGUUCAAUUAUCAGAUGAAGCCGAAGUUCUCAGUUGCCAAUUCCCUCCAAGCCAAAGAUCGAGCAUAUCAGAGUUUUUAGAGCAAGUGAAGAAACAAGGCAAUGUGGCUAGGAAAUUUGUGUAACUGUUGGAAAAAUGAGAACUUUGUGUAAUAGACUAUGUUGAUAAAUGAAAUGCCUAAAUAUGGGGCUAUCUUGAAAUCAACACCAAUUUCUUGCAUUUCAUUCAUAACUUACAUUCAUUUGACAUUCAUGUAUUCAUUCAUGCAUCAAUUCAUUCAUUGCAUAUCCCAUACUCGUUCGCUGAGAUUAAAGCGUACAAUUCGCAGUUGCCAGACUUCAAGACUGGAACCACGUCAUCCGUAUAAAACGCGCCGACAAGCUAGAGUAAUGGAGAAUGAAUUCAAUGAGAGAAUUGAAAGGAUGGAAAGGGCUCAAAAGGAAUUACAAGAGCAACUGGCCAAAUCGCAACAAGAGACGAGAGACCUGAUGGUGAGAUCUCGAGAGGAAUUGCUCGAGCAAAGAGAUCAGAUGGCUAAAAUGAUGGAGAUGAUAACAACUUUGGUCAAAGGAAAGGGACCCAUGCAGAACUCCGAUGUUAUGGAACCUCGGUCAAGAAUUCACCAUGAUCAGGAUCUAUUCUAUCCCCCGGGAUUCACUCCACCGCCCGCAUAUACAAUACAAAGAGGGUAUACUCAAGAGGAACCCACUGGCUUGGAACAUCGACCUAUGCCACCUGCUCCACCCACUAAUUUGGGGCAAGGAAUGUUAGCGUCGAACCUAGGGGCUAGUCCUGCUAAUCCACUAGUUCCAGAUUUGGAUGACCCAGCAGAGGUAGCCAAGUUGAAAUUGGAUAACCAUGACGCAAAAUAUAGGAGUCUAGAGGAAAGACUCAAAGCAAUAGAAGGCACUGAAGUCUUCUCCGCACUAGGUGCCAAGGAACUCAGUUUGGUACCUGAUCUAAUUUUUCCUCCGAAGUUCAAAGUGCCUGACUUUGAGAAGUAUGAUGGGACAAGGUGCCCAAAAGCACAUCUCAUUAUGUUCUGUCGAAAGAUGACCGGUUAUGUGAACGAGGAUAAACUACUCAUACAUUGCUUUUAAGAUAGUCUAACAGGGUCAGCUCUUCGGUGGUACAAUCAACUUAGUAGAGAAAAGAUUUGAUCCUGGAAGGACUUGGCGUCAGCAUUUUGCGAGCAGUACAAGCAUGUAUCGGAUAUGGUGCCAGACCGUAUGACCUUGAAAAUGAUGGAGAAAAAGCCAUCAGAGACCUUUAGACAGUAUGCGCAGAGAUGGAGAGACGUCUCAACUCAAGUGGAACCCCCACUAACAAAAACGGAGAUAACCGUUCUCUUUAUCAAUACUUUAAAGGCACCGUUUUAUGAAAAAUUAGUGGGAAGUGCCACGAAAGAUUUCGCGGAUAUUGUAAUAUCCGGUGAACUCAUAGAGAAUGCCGUCAAGAGCGGUAGAAUGGAAGGAUUAGAAGGCUCAAGAAAAGUAGCACCCUUAAGGAAGAAAGAGCCAGAAGCCCUCAUGGUGGGAACUGGGAGUCAUUACAUUCCCAAUUCGUAUCCUAAUCAACCCCGACCUCGAGAUUAUCCACCCUCGAAUUUCCAUUAUCCCCCUCAAACCCCUUACUACCAAGCACUAUAUCCGUCCUGCCCCGUAUACGCAACGAACAACCAAAGACCCGUCACCACUUUCCUAAAAAACACGGUACCCGCCCAAAGCCAACCCAGAAACGAACCAAGACCAUCAAGGCCUAAUCCCGAGAGACCGCAAUUUACCCCCAUCCCUGUGUCGUAUGGGGAAUUGUACCCAAAACUUUUAGAAAAAUAGCUAAUUUCUCCCCAUUACAUGGCACCCCUUAAACCUCCAUACCCAAAGUGGUACGAUCCAAAUGCUAGUUGUGCAUACCACGCAGGGAACCAAGGGCACUCUACUGAGAACUGUCUCGCUUUCAAAAGGAGAGUUCAAGGACUCAUUGACGCGGGUAUCCUACGAUUCGAUAGUGCUAGUAACGCCACGGGGAACCCGUUCCCUAACCAUACCGAAGGGAAUGUGAGCACAGUGGGGAAAGAGGAUGAAUGGAAGGUCAGAAGAUGUGUGGCAGAAAUAACGACGCCUCUGCAGAAAAUCUGGGAGGUAUUAGUUAAGAAAGGAUUGCUCUGUCACUCUGAUAGAGUUUUUGGAGAAGAAGGUCAAAGUUUUUGCAAUUUUCAUGGGAUUGUUGGGCACGACAUUCAGUCGUGCGAGGACUUUAAAAGGUUACUUCAAGACCGGAUGAAUAAUAAGGAGAUCAAGGUCUUUAACAAGAGUGAAGAUGCCAACGAAAGAGAAGUAUGCGUCUCUGAUAGCCAAUCAUCAGGGCCCCCUUAUAGUGCUGAUCGACCGUUGGUAAUUUAUUACGACGCGAUGAGAGAGCCAUUGAAACCACAGAUGGUAAUUGAAGUACCAUCUCAUUUCCCGUAUAAGGACAACAAAACAGUACCGUGGAGAUAUGAUGUUAAUAUCGUUACACCGAAAGUUGAAAAGUCCAAAGCCAUAAUUGAAGAUGUUGGGGAGGUAGGUCAUUUUACUCGAAGUGGACGAUGCUAUUCUAAAGAAAUUGAACCGGUAAAGAAAAGUAGCGACUCGAAGCAAAAAGGGAAAGCAGUGAUGCACGAGGUCGAAGUUGAGCAAGAAAUUCCACCCGUGCAAGAAACUAAAAAGCCUGUGAAUGAGGAAGAAGCUCAAGAAUUCUUGAAAUUUAUUAAGCACAGCGAAUAUAGUGUGGUGGAACAACUGAGCAAGCAGCCAGCACGAAUCUCAGUUCUAUCUCUACUGUUAAAUUCAGAGCCACACCAGAACGCUUUAUUGAAGGUGUUAAAUCAAGCUUACGUGGCCAACAACAUAUCUGUCGAAAAGCUUGAUAGGUGGGUAAACAAUCUGAAUGCGGACAACUUCAUCUCUUUUAGUGAUGAUGAGAUACCGCUAAAUGGUAGAGGUUCGGUGAAAGCGCUGCAUAUCACGACCCGCUGCAAGGGCUACAUAAUACCGAACGUACUCAUCGAUAAUGGGUCAGCAUUAAAUGUUAUGCCAUUGGCUACACUUUCUAGAAUACCGAUAGAUUUGUCCUACUUAAAGCCUUGUCAUUCCACGGUAAGGGCCUUCGACGGGACGAGGCGUGAAGUCAUGGGAAAGGUCGAAAUCCCUUUGGAAGUGGGCCCCUACAUAUAUGAGGUCGAAUUCUAAGUCAUGGACAUUACACCCUCUUAUAACUGCCUUUUGGGAAGACCUUGGAUUCAUUCUGCUGGAGCAGUCCCAUCAUCCCUCCAUCAAAAAGUGAAAUUCAUCAUGGAUGGCUGUUUGGUCACAGUCGAGGGCGAAGAAGACAUCAUCGCAUCUAUCUCUGCUGAUGCGCCAUACCUGGAAGUAAGCAAGGAUGCAGUGGAAUGUUCUUUUCGAUCCCUUGAAUUCAUCAAUGCCACUUUCGUCGCUGAGGGAAAUAGAAUUCUGAUGCCAAAACUGUCGAGAAAUACCAGAAUGGGUGUCAAGUUGACCAUAGGAAGGGGAGCUCGUGCGAGAAGAGGUUUAGGGAGACAUCUGCAAGGAAUAGUGAGGGCUUUAAAGCCAGUGCACCACAAGGCCCGAUACGGUUUGGGGUUCCGGCCUGACAUGCGCCAAAGAAGAAGACAGUGGAAAAAGGAUCAAGAGAGAAGAAUUGCAAGAACUUUGGGCCGAGAACCAGAAUGGGAACCAAUAGAGUACCCUUCUUUUUCAAAAACAUUUACAUCUGCGGGAAUGAUGUACCCUGGACAAGAGGAUCCACGAAACAUGCUGGGAUUAAUUGAAAAGGAUUUUCAGAAUGCUAGUAUAAAUGUCAUUGACAAAGAAGCUGGUGCAAGUAAAGAUGUCUCGAGGAUACACCCUUGCCCUCCUGGUUUCAUGUUGAACAAUUGGAUUGCUGAGGAGCUUCUUGUAGUUUAUAAGCCUUCAGAGUAAUGCCAAACAUCAACCUUCUAUUGUGUCCUUAGAUAUAAUAGAGUUCUUUUGUAAGAGUUUGCAUUCGCUCUUUAUCAUUUAAAUGAAUUUCAAUGAAGAUGUAUUUUGUCAUGAUUUUUCGCAUUAUCACUAAUUUCAUAAUCAUUUUCUCAUUUCAUAGCCUAUCCUUACAUUUGCCUCAUUGCCAUGACAUAACAUUUUGUUUGUUGUUUCCAAUACUUGGAUGUCCCCCGAUAGCUUCCUUUUCCAUUCAACUUUUAGGUGCUCAGAUAUUGACGACAUGAAUAAGCCCGUUACGAAUCUUGAAAUUAAUGUUGAGAAGGCUGUUUGCUUAGGAGAAUUUGAAGCCGAAGAAAAUGCUGAAGAUUAUGUCUCGUCUCCUGAAUUGUUAAGAAUGGUGGAACAAGAGGAUAAACAGGUUCUGCCUCAUGAAGAAUCUGUAGAAACAAUAAAUUUAAGCACUGAAGAAAGGAAACAAGAAGUGAAGAUUGGGACUUCUAUUUCAGAAAGUACCAGGCGUAGUUUGAUCACUUUACUCCGCGAAUACAAAGAUGUUUUCGCGUGGUCAUACCAGAACAUGCCAGGGCUAGAUGAAGAUUUAGUGGUCCAUAAGCUCCCAUUAAAGCCAGAAUGCAAGCCCAUCCAGCAAAAAUUAAGACGGAUGAGGCCCGAAAUGCUGUUGAAAAUAAAAGAGGAAGUCAAGAAGCAAUUUGACGCUGGCUUCCUACAAGCCUCCAAAUAUCCAGAACGGGUGGCUAACAUAGUCCCGGUACCAAAGAAAGAUGGAAAAGUACGAAUGUGCGUGGAUUAUUGUGACCUGGAUCGAGCAAGCCCAAAAGAUAAUUUUCCCUUGCCAUAUAUUGACACGUUGGUGGACAACAUAGCAAAACAUUCAUUGUUUUCUUUCAUGGAUGAAUUCUCGGGGUAUAAUCAGAUCAAGAUGGCUUCUGAGGAUAUGGAGAAAACUACCUUCAUAACAAUGUGGGGAACGUUCUGCUACAAGGUGAUGCCAUUCGGGUUAAAGAAUGCUGGGGCAACAUAUCAGAGGGCUAUGGUGACGUUAUUCCAUGACAUGAUGCAUAAAGAAAUAGAGGUCUACGUCGACGAUAUGAUUGCUAAAUCUCGAGGAGAAGAAGAGCAUGUAAUGAACCUCAAGAAGUUGUUCGAAAGGUUGAGAAAGUUUCAGCUAAAGCUUAAUCCAGCCAAAUGUACAUUCGGGGCUACAUUGGGAAAGUUGCUAGGCUUCAUUGUCAGUGAAAGAGGUAUCGAAGUUGAUCCAGAUAAAAUAAAAGCCAUCCAAGAAUUACCACCUCCGCGCACGCGAAAGGAAGUUAGAGGAUUUUUAGGGAGAUUAAAUUACAUCGCCCGAUUUAUCGCUCAACUUACCAACCAAUGCGACCCAAUCUUUCGGCUUCUUCGAAAACGUAACCCGGGAGAAUGGAACGAGGAAUGCCAUGUGACCUUUGAUAAGAUAAAACAAUAUUUGUCCAGUCCUCCAGUGCUAGUACCGCCAACUCCGGGAAGACCAUUAAUUUUGUAUCUGACAGUGUUCGAAAGUUCAAUGGGUUGCGUACUGGGACAACAUGACGAGUCAGGAAAGAAAGAAAAGGCGAUCUGCUACCUCAUCAAAAAGUUCACUGAAUAUGAGGCAAAAUAUUCGUCCGUUGAGAAAUAUUGUUGCGCUCUGGUUUGGGUAGCUCGGAGACUCAGACAAUAUAUGUUGUAUCACACGACAUGGCUAAUUUCAAAGCUGGACCCAAUAAAAUACAUGAUGGAAUCGCCGGCACUAUCAGGAAGAAUCGCACGAUGGCAGCUCCUCCUUUCGGAAUAUGACAUUGCCUAUGUAAGUCAGAAGUCAAUAAAAGGGAGCGCAAUAGCUGACUUCUUAGCAACUCGAACGACAGAGGAAUAUGAGCCUUUAAGAUUCGAUUUCCCAGACGAAGACUUAAUGUGAAUCACAGAAAUAGAAUCCGAGUCAUCAAAAGAGAAGUCAUGGAAGAUGUGCUUUGAUGGUGCGUCAAAUGCUUUAGGGCAUGGAAUUGGAGCAAUCCUGGUAUCACCAGACGGGAAUCAUUAUCCGUUCACUGCAAGACUGAACUUCUUCUGUACCAAUAAUAUCGCAGAAUAUGAGGCCUGUAUCAUGGGGCUUCGUGCAGCUAUUGAACGAAACAUCGAGAUCUUGGAGGUGUACGGGGACUCAGCCCUAGUGAUUUACCAAAUCCGUGGAGAAUGGGAAGUGAGGGACUCAAAAUUGAUUAAGUACAGCGAUUUAGUGGCUGGAUUGAUCAAGGAAUUCAAAGAAAUAACUUUUCAUUACUUCCCACGAGAAGAGAACCAACUGGCUGAUGCCCUAGCCACUUUGGCUUCAAUGUUCAAAGCAAGUAGAGAAGCAGAAAUAAUGCCCCUCAAAAUGAGCAUAUACGAGGUCCCUGCACACUGUUGUAGCAUUGAGAAAGAAGUAGACGGAUAGCCUUGGUUCCAUGAUAUCUUAGAAUAUAUCAAGAAUCAAAGGUAUCCCGAACAAGUGAAUGAGAACGAUAAAAGAACAAUUAGAAGAAUGAUAGCGGGAUUUGUUCUUGAUGGGGAUAUCCUGUAUAAAAGAGGAAAGGAUCAGAUGCUUUUGAGAUGUGUGGAUGAUGUUGAAACCAGAAAAAUACUUGAAGAGGUCCAUGAGGGAAUUUGCGGAACGCAUGCCAAUGGUUUCAAUAUGGCCAGAAAGAUCAUGAGACUCGGUUAUUAUUGGCUGACAAUGGAAAGUGACUGCAUCAAUUUUUCCAGAAAAUGCCACAAAUGUCAAAUCUACGGCGAUAAAAUUCAUGUAGCCCCUUCACCCCUUCAUGUCAUGACUUCUCCGUGGCCUUUUUCUAUGUGGGGCAUGGAUGUCAUAGGACCAAUUUCUCUAAAAGCUUCAAAUGGACAUCGAUUCAUUUUUGUGGUUAUCGAUUACUUCCCAAAAUGGAUUGAAGCCGAUUCAUUUGCCAAUGUGACGAAGACUGCAGUGUGCAAGUUUUUGAAAAAGGAAAUCAUUUGCCGAUAUGGUUUGCCUGAAAGAAUCAUCUCAGAUAAUGCCACGAAUCUGAACAAUAAGAUGAUGAAAGAAGUGUGCGAGCAUUUCCAAAUAAAGCAUCAUAAUUCCUCGCCCUAUCGCCCAAAGAUGAACGGGGCUGUUGAAGCAGCUAACAAGAACAUUAAGAGGAUCAUUGGGAAAAUGACUGAGACAUAUAAAGAUUGGCACGAGAAACUUCCAUUUGCUUUGUUUGCAUAUCGCACAUCUGUGCGAACAUCUACGGGAGCAACUCCUUUCUCUCUAGUCUAUGGAAUGGAAGCUGUGCUACCUAUCGAGGUUGAGAUCCCCUCUCUGCGAGUAUUGAUGGAAUCAAAGUUAGAAGAAGCAGAAUGGGUUCGAGCUCGAUAUGAUCAGUUGAACCUCAUUGAAGAAAAACGUCUAAGGGCAAUUUGUCAUGGGCAAAUGUACCAAAAGAGAAUAAUCGCAGCCCAUGACAAGAAGGUACGACCAAGAGAGUUCCAUGAAGGAGAAUUCGUUCUGAGAAAGAUUCUCCCACUACAAAAAGACCGGCGAGGAAAAUGGGCACCAAAUUGGGAAGGACCAUACGUUGUAAAAAAGGCAUUCUCAAGAGGAGCUUUAAUCCUUACCGAGAUGGAUGGGAAGGAGUUACCGAAUCCGGUGAAUUCGGAUGCGGUGAAGAAAUAUUAUGCUUAAGAUGAAAACCCGAAAAGGGCAUCUAAAAAAAGGGCGAAAACUCGAAAAGGGCGUCUUGAUUAGUACAAAAAGAUUAGGAUGAAAACCCGAGAGGGCGUCCUAAUGAAACAAACCUGGCGGUCGAACGAUAGGUCAAGUAGUGAGACUACAGUAUUUGAAGCAUUUCUGAAAGCUCGAAAUCUUCUACGCAAGAAGCCGCGCUCAAAAAGAUUUUUGAUUGUGGAACGAGGAAGAGUUCAUGUGUUGAAUAUCUAGAGCAUUUGUAUCCGUUGAAUACGAUCCUUUCUUUCUUUUUGACAUUUUUUACUCUCAUUGUUUAACUUGCUUUGUUUGCCACAUUUGAAAUAGAUGAAUAUGAAAUAUCAUUUUUGUCCCUAUCUGACCUUUUUCAUGCAUCUCAUUAUGUGUUUAUUUACAUGAUAAAUGGUGAAAUGACAUACUCUAAACAAAAGAAAUGUUAAGCAUUACCUGGAUGAAAAUUUGAUAAGCACAAGAGUCUCAAAGUAAGAACAAAGUUCAAUCGGGGGCAGAAGAGUGAUAUCUGAGAAACGUCGAUUACUCGUGAAGCUUGAAGACAGGUAUAAGGACUAAAGAGAAAGUCGAGAAUCAAAGCAAUGAACACAGAUCCUCAACAAUCGUGGCUAAAUAGACAUACGACAAACAUGCUUAAGGAGCACUGCAUAAUCGUGUAGGCAUAAAAGCAUUUAAGACAAACAUGUGCAUAUCAUGAUAACAUCAUACAUGGCAUAUACAGGUACUCCAGUAGAGCAAGAAAUCUUGAAUAAGAGUCGCACUGAAUCAAAGGAAAAGACAUCUGAGUUCCACCAGUUGACAUCUUUUGGUAUUUUGAUGUUUUUAUUUCUGUUUCAAAAAAAAUCAACUCAUACUGCGAGAGGUGAGUUGAGCCUCAGGACACGCUGAGGUAAUUUCAAUUUCUGUUGUCAAAAAAAUCAACUCAUAUUGCGAGAGGUGAGUUGAGCCUCGGGAGACGCUGAGGUAAUUUCAAUUUCUGUUUUCAAAAAUCAACUCAUAUUGCGAGAGGUGAGUUGAGCCUCGGGACACGCUGAGGUAAUUUCAAUUUCUGUUUUCAAAAUUCAACUCCUAUUACGAGAAAUGAGUUGAGCCUCAAGACAUGUUGAGGUAUUUUUAAUUUUUGUCUUUCAAAAAAAUCAACUCAUACUGCGAGAGGUGAUUUGAGCCUCAGGACACGCUGAGGUAAUUUCAAUUUCUGUUGUUAAAAAAAUCAACUCAUAUUGCGAGAAAUGAGUUGAGCCUCAGGACACGCUGAGGUAAUUUCAAUUUCUGUUUUCAAAAUUCAACUCAUAUUGCGAGAAAUGAGUUGAGCCUCAAGACAUGCUGAGGUAUUUUCAAUUUUUUUUUUUUCAAAAAAAUCAACUCAUAUUGCGAGAGGUGAGUUGAGCCUCGGGACACGCUGAGGUAAUUUCAAUUUCUGUUUUCAAAAAUCAACUCAUAUUGCGAGAGGUGAGUUGAGCUUCAAAUCACACAUGUGGUAUUUUUUCAAUUUAUAUUGCGAAAGGUGAGUUAAGCCUCGAGUCACAUGUCGAGGUAUUUUCAAAAUCUGCUUUUCAAGAUAAGUUUCAAAAAUCAACUCAUAUUGCGAGAGGUGAGUUGAGCCUUGGCUCACACGCUGAGCUAUUUUCAAUUUCUGUUUUUAAUGUCUGUUUUUAGAGAGUCAAUUCAUAUUGUGAAAAAUGAGUUGAGCUCAGGAUCACAUACCGAGUAAAGAAUAAAGACUGGAAUUAAUCGAAGACACAGAUUUUAUAUCCCUGAAGUUACAGUGAAGCUAAUUGAAGUUACAGUGGAGCUGAUCGAGGAUAUUAGAUCUUGCCUUUCUAAAGUGGCAGAAGAGAAGACCAAAACCUUAUUCGUUGAAGCGAUAGAAGAGCUUAUUGAAGUUGUAGAUCUUAUCUUUCUGAAGUUACAGUGAAGCGGAUCGAAGCCACAAAUCUCAUAUCCUUGAAGUUACAUUGGAACAGAUUGAAGCUACAAGGCAUAUCUCCGAAUUUGCAGUGGAUUGAACCAAAGCUACAAGAUGCGGUGGACUGAAAAGGGACUAACUAAACAAGAAGAGUUCCAAAGUAAGUCAAGACCUAGCAAGACCGGGCAAGUUUGGUCUUCCUUGAAAGUCUUUGCUCUAUUAUCGUUGCACGACAAUGAGCAAAGAGGGGCAGCUGUAGAAGCCCAAAUUGCCCGGGCCCGAUUAUAUCAAAACCCGACCAAACCUCUAAACUCACUAAAACCCUUAACCCAUGACCCAUUUACAUCUAUCCAAACCCAUUACAAAACCCAAAUAUUAAACCCAAUUCAAAAGCCCAUUAAGCCCUCCAAAAAAAAACCUAACCCCCCCAAAAAAAGAAAAAACCUAACCCCCCCCCAAAAAAAAGAAAAACCUAACCCCAAAAAAAAAACCAAGAAACUUUAGCCACCUAGCCACUUUCCCACUUGCCCCAUUUUUCCUCCAAUUUUUGAUAUCCAUUGUCUACCACCACCACCUACAAAAUAGAAAAAGAAAUAAUAGAAAAUCAUGUAAAAGAUGGCUAUAAAAAGCCAUUCAAAAAUCAUGUAAGAAGGGGGAAUUUUGAUCAAUACAAAGAAUUUAUCUUCAAAAAAUACCUAAAGGUGAUUUUAUCUUCUUUAUUUUACUCUUUUUUUAUUUUUAUUUUUUAUUUUUUUCCUUUUUUUGAAUCUAUUAAUCUAUAUAUAUACAUCAUAAUAAAAUAUAUAAUAAAAAUAUAUAUACAAAACAAAUAUUAAAAAAAUUACCUUUUCUGGCCACCACGUGCGGUGGCCGGCGCUGGUGACGGACGGCGGCCGACGGUCGGUCGGUGACCGGCCCCUGGCCGGAUUUACCUUCCCCCCUCCCUUCUCUCUUCCCUCUCUCUUCUUUUUCAUUUAUUUUUCGUAUUUACCUUGGAUUUCAUAUUAUUUUGCUAUUUAAUUUAGCUUUAAAUAUUAAUCAUGUUAUAUAUGUAAUAUUGUUAUCACUAUUAUUUUUAUAUAUUGUUAUUAUUAUAUUAUAUUUAGCUAUAUAUAUAUUUUCUUUAUGUUCCGUUUCUUACUAUUUUAUGCAUAUAUAUCUAUUAUUAUAUUUAUUAUUAAUAUUGUUAGCACUAGUACUUUUACUUCAUGUGUAUGUAGAUAUACAUGUACAUAUUAAUAGUUUUUUUAUCAUAUGUAUAUAUUGUAUAUAUUAUAUUUAUAUUAUAUAUAUUCUUAAUGUUAUUAGUUGUAUACUUCUUGUAUAUUUCUAUGUAUAUACUUUAUAUUGUCUCAUGUACAUACUCCGAAAUACUAUUAUACAUAUACAUAUUUUUAAUACCAUAUUGAGUAUAUAUUAUUGUAUUUAUUUUUAUUCCGAUUAUACUUAUUAUUAAUGUUAGUACAUAUAUUUCACCAUAAGUGUAUAUAUACCUUUUUGUGUAUAUAAUAUUAUUUUCGUAUAUUUAAUUAUUAUUCUAAAAAAGGGUUAUAAUAUGUACAUAUUUAUGAAGUAUUAUUAAUAGUAUUGUUUUUAAACAUCAUUGUUAUUUCUAAUAUAUAUAUUAUGUACAUUUUUUAUUUCUAUUUUGUUUUUUUAUUUGUCAAUAUUAAUUAUUAUUAUUCUAAUAUUUUGAUAUUUUAAUAUUUUAUAUUAUUCACAUCACUAUUCGCAUUUUUUACAAUAAUAUUCUUACAUUUUUUACUAUCAUUUUAGAAACUUUUUACAUUUUAAUUUUAAGAAUAAGGCAAUGUACCGAUUUUAACAUUAAGUCAUCGAUUUCAUCGUUAUGUUGGGUGAAAUUCGUCGGCUUGUGUUAAAAAACGGGACACCCUUUCUAAAAAAAUCGAAAACUAAAAAUUCUCAUUUUUCAAUCGGAUCACGAUUAAAUAUUAUAUUGAACUCGUAUUUUUGAAAAUCAAGUCAACACAUGUUUAUGAGAUACCAAUUUUGGACGUCGCGAGGGUGCUAAUACCUUCCUCGCGCGUAACUGACUCCCGAACCCCAAUUUUUUUCUGGACUUUCACGUAGACCUAAAUUCGGCCUUCUUUUUGUUUUAAAAUAAUUUUAUUAGGUAUCCGAUCACACCUAUAAAAAAGGAUCGGUGGCGACUCCCUUUGUUAAUAAAAUCGAAAGUUGGUUUUCAAAUGUUUAAUAAAUCGCCACAAUUAGCGACCAAGCGAAACUAAAUUUUUUUACGUCGCUACAAUUCUAUAUUUAGAAAAUUCGAGAAAUCGUUCCCUAACUUACUGGGCUUCGAUUUUUCUCGUGAUCCUAAAUAACUGAAUAUCCUUUUAAAAUUGAAAUAAAUGAGGUUUAAAUAAAAAAAUAAAAGGCAAGCUUAAUUCAAAAUACGAGAUGUCGGGUCCUAACUUACUGGAUGUGACAUCUUGUUACUUCGAGAUAAGGAAGCAUUUUCCAUAUUUAUUUAUUCGAGUAAUUUUAAAAUAACACAAUAAAGAGGGAUCGUAUUUUUAAAUUCUUUUCGAGUUUUUAAUCUUCGACACUGAGACAUUAAUUAAUCAACUAGGUACCAAUUUUAGGCGUAUCGAGGGUGCUAAUCCUUUCUCGCGCGUAAUCGACUCUCGAACCCGUUUUUCUGAAUUUCGUAGAUCGAAAUUAUUGUUUUAAUAAAUCAAAUAAUUUCUUAAAAUAAUAACUUUUCGAGGUGAUCCGAUCACACCUCAUCAAAAAGGAUUGGUGGCGACUCCCGUUUUCGUUUUCGUUUUCAACAACCAAGUCGACCCCGUUUUAUAUCAAAAAAAUGGUGUCAACAAAUUAAAUUUCUAACCUUAUGUAAUUUUCAACUUAAAUGUUAUCAGUCCAAUCAGCAAAAAAUUAAUGACGUCAAGGAGAAAUUAUUUUAUGAACCAUUGUCACCACAUCAUCCAUGGUCCCUUUCCAAUUAUAUAAUGACAUUUCAACAAUUUUUUUACAUCUCAUUGACACAUAAUUUUGGUAAUUUUUUUACCUUAAACCUCAAAUCUCGAACCCUGAAACUUGAACCCCAAAGCCCGAACUCAAACCCUAAACUCCAAGCCAAACUUGAACCUUAAACCAUGAACCUUAAAUCCAAAUAUUAAAUCUCAAACCUUAAACAUCAAACUCGAACCUUGAACCCCAAACUCGAACCUUAAACUUUGAACAUGGGUUCAGGGUUUAGGAUUUGAGGCUCAAAGUUUAGGGUUCUAGAUUUAAGGUUAGGAUUCAAGGUUCAUGGUUUAGCGUUUAGGGUAAAAAAAUUGCCAAAAUUAUGUGUAAAUAAUAUAGAAAAAACUAAAAUAUCAUUAAAUAAUUAAAAAAUGACCAUAAAUAAUGUGAGUGAAAAAAUCUAUAAAAUAAAUUUUAAACUUCAAAAUUUUGAGUGAAAAACAUAAAUUGGAAGGUUAAAAAAAAGUGUUAAUGUUGAAUUAAUAACUUGGUUGGGUAAUAUCUUUUUAUUAAAGACUGAAUUGAUUAGAAUUUUUUCUUUCCAUCCAAGCCUUUAUUUAGAUCCAUCAUAACUAGUCUAAUUUUGAGUCAUUAAAUUAGAUGCUUUUCCCACACGGCUAAAGCCCCACUCUUGCAUUUAUAACAUAUGGAAAACUUUUACUACACUCACGAAAUCGAUACCACCAUAUUCAAUUCCUCACGAACUUCAUAAUUUUCUACCUACAAAAAGCUUAGAACUCAUAGAGGCUGCCUAUCAUAUAUGCACUGUUAAGGUAAAUAAUGACACAAUAAUUUAUAUCAACCGAAGAAGCAAUAAUGUGAGAGAGAGAGAAUCACCUCCCAACUCAAAACAUUUUGUUGAGGUGUUUAUCCCCAACACCUCAACAUUGUUCCUAUGAUAGAUUAAAUUGUUUGCAUAUCAUCUAACUCCAGCAGCUAUGGAAGUAUACAAAUCAAUUUUUCUAUAGUAGGAGUUAGAUUACAUUUGGUCUUUUUUAUUGAAAGAUGAACAAAUUAUUUUUUGUACUUUAGAUCAAAAAGCAAAUUGAUCCUUUUUAUUAAAAAUUUUAACAAUUUCUAUUAUUAAAAACUGACAUGGCUGGUAAAAUAAUCAGAAAAUUGCACGUGGCAUAUAAGGAUCAGUUUUUAACAGUAGAAAUGGAUGAAUUUUUUAACAGGAUGACCAAUUUACUCUUUAAUGUAACGUAUAGGGAUUAAUUUACCUUUUUUAAUAUAAAAAAUAAAUGUAAUCUAACCCUUAAUACAAAAAUCUCCGUAAUCCUUUCACCGCUUUUCCUUUAAAAAAAUAUGUAAAAUUUACUUCAUUAAUUCUUUAGGCUAGUGUACAUCGGGCCAUCUAUAAACUUAUAAAUUAAGACUCUAAAACUCAUUUUACUAUUUAAAAUAUAUUAAAAUUAUUAUUGUAUGAUUCAAUUUUAAUAAAUAUUUUUAUUUAUUAAAUAAUACCUCAAAUCAAGAUAAUAAAAAUAUUUUUAUAAUUAAAUUUAAAUAAUUUUAUUUAUUUGAGUUUCAAACAAAAUUUUAUAAUAUAUUACCGGAUUAAUAUAACAUUUGUUGCUUGAACUUGACAUGUUUUCCUAUUUUGAUACCUAAAUUUUUUUGGCCCAAUUUGUUACUUGAACUUGAAUUUUUUUUCCUAAUUUAGUACUUAAACUAGCAGUGUUAAAUAAGUCAUGUUAUGCUACAAAAAUAUAUUAGUAUUAGAGGAAAUUCAUGUUAAAAAAAAUUAUGCAUUGAGUUUAAAAACCCAAAAUAAAAAAAAUCAUUAUUUUAAAUUAAUAAAAUAAAAUUAAUUAAUUAAACUAAAAGUAAUUGAACAUUUAAAAUAAAUAAAAAUACUAUGUCAUCUAUCACAUGCCGAUCAUACAUUGAUUAUUUUCUAUACCUCAUAAAAGAUAAUAUUGUUAACAUAUUGAAGUAAUUUUUAUAAUGUUUGACAACCAAAUCUCGCAAAAAAAAUAAUACCAAAUUAGAAAAAGAGUCAAGUUCAGGUACCAAAUUGGAAUAAAAAAAUAUAAAGUAUCAAAUUAAGAAAUUGUGUUAAGUUCAUGUACCAAAUUAAGAAAACAUGUCAAGUCUAAGUAUCAAAUUGAACAAAAAAAUUCAAAUACAAAAUUAAGAAAAAAAUAUUAAGUUCAAGUACCAAAUAUUAUUUAAAUCUAUAUUAUACUAGAUCUGACAAUAAUACUCAAGACUUUUCUCCAUCCCUAUAACAUACCUAAAAUAUAUACUUAUGUUUUUUCCUUUUGAUAAGAAAAUAUAUCAAGUUGAUGUACUAAAUUAAAAAAAACGUGUCAAAUUUAAAUAUUAAAUUAAGAAAAAAAUAUUAAAUUUAAGUAUGAAAUAUUAUUUAAGCAUAUAUUAUAUGAGAUCUAACAAAAAUACUCGAGCCUUUUCCCAUCCCUAUAACACACCUAACGAAAAUUCAUGUAUAAAUUUGAAAUAAAAACCUUAAUAAAUAGUAUUGGUACACUUAUUAACAAACACCUAUAAUAAAAAGAAAAGUCUUGCAAAAUACAAUAAAUGUUUAAGAGUAUUUGAGUUUGAUAAUUUUUUUAAUGUGGUAUCUGAUUUGAUAAAAGUUAUAUCUUUUAAUAUUUGAAGGUAACAGUGUCAACAUUUUAUCAUUCAAUUUAAAUUUUAAUGUUGAUUUGAUAAAAAUUCAUAAUUAAUUAAUAAUAUUAUCUAUUAACUUUUUCGAACCGACCCAAAGUUGAAAAAGAAAAUUACAACCAUGAGAUUGUGUGUAAUAAAUUGAAUAUAAAAUUAAACAAAUAUGCAACUACCGCUAAAUUUAUUUUACUAAUAAAAUCAUGAAAAUUUGAAUUAACCCUUAAAUACUAAUUAAAACCUUUUUUAUGUCACUAUCCGACCUAACCCACGAGAUUUACGAGCCUUUUAAGGUGUUGUCACGUUUAAAAACAUUUCUAAAUAUUUGAAUCCACAUCACAAUACACAUAUAAAUAUGCUCUUAUUAACUGUGAGAAAAUGCAUUUAUAUAUGUGUUGGGAGAUCAUUUACAAGACUCAACGAGAAUAUAUUUAAUUUGAUAAUUUUAUAAGAGGAUUCAUAGCGAGAUAAAGUCAGGGAAGCUGGUUAAUAUAUUAUUUAGAAUAAGUUUAUUAAUGAUUUAGAAUGUGUUGGUGGAAGUGAUUAAUAUAUAUAAUCUCAGGGCAUUGACUAGGAAAAUUCAUAAAAGAAAACAAAAUCAUCUCACCUUUCUAAUGUUUGGGAAUUUAUACUUAUGUGGUAGAUUUAUAUUUCACUAUUUAUUCAUCAUUUGAAUGCCCACCUUCCCACUUUUACUAGGAAACCAACCCCCAUAAUUCCCUCCCACUUUCACUUUCUCAUCUUAAAUUCAAAAUCUACCGCUUUACAACUUUUUUUCCCACCUUCCAAGCACUUCCUGCUACUGUCAAAUUUAUUUUCAAAUCACCCACCAAAAAGAAUCUGCCAUCAAAGUCUAUUUUAUGUUAACCAUUAACCCUACUUUUUAUUUGAAAAGAUUAAAUGGUUAAGGGAUUAUUUGAUGAUCAAAAUAGAUGCUGUUAAUAGGUAGAAAAUCUGAAUGAACAAUAUACAUUCUUUUUUCUACUCAAGGAGUAGGGUUUAGCUUUUAGAAUAAGGAAAAGAGGGUUUCAAGAAUUACACAUUGUUGUUGUUGUUGGAAAUGAAAGGCAUUUAGCUAAAUCAUAAAUCAUAAUGAUUUAUUAGGCUCCUCUUACUAGCUAUUACUUGGAUGGUUAUACAUACCUUCCACUAGUAGUCUUCUCGACCCACACACACAUCAAAAGCUCCUCUUUCGAACAUUUCUUGUUGAGUAUUAAAAUUUUAGCUUUCUUCUUCACCCAAAUAGAAGAGUGUUAGGAUCGACCCGAUUAAGUAACAAGUACAAAAAAAUAAUAGAAUAAAUUGAGAAAUUAAACACACAAAUUUAACAUGAAAAAACUCCUCCAAAGAGGAUAAAAAAUCACGGGCAAAGAUAAUUUUACUAUAAUGGCAAAAGAACGAAGAGUACAAAAGAUGGAGAUAAAAACUAAAUCCCGAAAACAAAGAACCCUCAAAACGUAAACACAAAAUUCUCUAAAUGUGUUAUGAGUUCUAAUCUCUAAUGGGUGUCUUUUUUAAGGUUGUAAAAGAACCUAUUUAUAGGCUAAAUUAGUAAGUCAAAUAAACUAUGCUAAUAAAUGAUAAAUAUAUUAUACUAAUAAAUACUAAAUCUUCUAGAAAGAAAAUAUAUUUUGUUUAACUUGACUUGCAAACAAUCUCUUAGAAUUUGGGUCACACAACUCUAACAAAGAACUUGUUGAAUUCUAAAGAUACAUUGUAAAUAGGUAAUUAUUCAAUCAGAUAACUAAGAAGUUGUGAAAGCCAUUCAAAGAAGCUUUGCUAUUCCUUCAAAUUAUGCUAUGAUAAGAAGAUAUAUCACAUUUUAUCCCAAGAAGAUUAAUGGAUUCUACGUUACAUUCCCAGAGAGCAAAAUCAGGUCACAUAUUGCUUAGCAAAGUUGGCUUUAGUCAAUAAAGAGGAGUUGCGAAUUUUUUACUCUCCCCCAAUGGAGAGUUCAGAAUUUUUUUUAUUCGGACAGGUUAAGGGGAUUGAUCCAUUCUCAGAAUACUCUCGUCUAAUUUAAGCUAGCCUUUUUUUUUAACAUUGUAAACAAAUUAUCUAUGGUGUAUACAUCUAUAAUUGAUUUUAAAAUUUUUACUUUCAAUUUGUGGUACAACAUUCAAUAUCUAAAAAAGUUUUAGUGAAAUCACAAUAUGAACAUAGAUUAAAAGGAUCGAACUACAUUAACUAAUGUUUAUUGUCACUUUAAUUAAAAUUUUGUCGAUCUCAAAUUCACUCACAAAUUCAUACUCAACACAAUAUAUGUGUUAUACUAUUGAUGGAAAUUUUUAAAAAAAACAUAAAGCUAAAAAAUAUUUCCUAAAAAAGUAAAAAGAGGAAAAAGAACUUAAAAAGCAUAUAUGAUUAUUUGUGUAUUCAAUAUUAUUUUUAAAUUAAAUUGUCACUUUAUGUGAAUCUCUCCGACAAAUAGUCAUGAAGAGAAAGAUGGGAGAGGCUCAGGCUGAAUUAAAAGUGGACAAUUUUCAUUACGGUGUCAACCACUGUUAAACCCCACAUUGUUUAGACUCCACAAGGUUACCAAAGUAAAACAAAAUAUGAGGUUGUGUUUUAUAAUAAAAAUAAAAAUGAGUUAUAAUAAAACAAAUUGUAAAAGAUGAUGUAUUUAGAACAUAUCUUAGUGCUAACUAUGAUUUGAUUAAUUAAUCUUAAUAAUGUACUGCCAUCUUACUUGUUCUUCUACUUUUCCUGCCAAUUUGUUAACUAGAUUAGAAUCAAUGAGCACAAAUCAUUGUUAUUCAAGAAAUGCUUUUAAAAUUUUGGGUAAAUAUCAACUUUGAUUUAUUGUAAUUAUACACAUGAAAUUUGAAUUUAUAUGUUUAUAUGAAACAUCGAUUUUAAUUCACUUAUAUACAUUUAAAGAAAGGUCAUAUUGGAUUAAUAUAAUUAUUUGUGAAUGCAAUAUAUCAAUGUAAGUCUGUGUUAAUUUAAUAAUGUUGUUCAUGAUUUGUGAAAAUUAAAUCAAAAUCAUGUAUAGUUUUUAAACUUAACGACCGGAAUGACAAUCCAUGUUUUUUUUUUUGAAUUUUUGUGGGAUUUUUUCAUUUAUUUUUAAUUUUUAAUUAUUUUUAAAAUUUUUAAAAUAUUAUUAAAGUGACAUAAAAUAAAUAAUGUCAUAUCAAUAUGAAAUACGUAUGACUGUGACAUAAGUUGCACAGCUAACAUUACUAAAAAAUUAAUUUUUUUACUUAAUAUAUAAUAUAUUAAUGUAAAAUACUAGUAAUUAGAUAAUAUUAUUAAUAAUUUAUGAAAAUGAAACUUUAUAUAAAUCAACAUAAAAUCAAUACCCCAGUUAAUUGGUUUUGUUAAAAUGGAAAAGUGAAAAUAAACAAAUAAACAACUAUAAAUAACCAACAAUUCAAUACUACAUAGAAAUAAAAUAAAGAAAACAGAGUUUCAGUGAGAGAGCUAAAGAAAAGGAAAAUCACACACAACACUUUGUCUGCUAUUAAGACACAAACAAGAUAGAAGAGAGAGAAACUGUAAAGAAAGAAAACCCAAGAAGAAGAAGAAGAGGGUUUCAAGAUCUGGUCAGAUCAAGUCAAGCUACAUAAACAUGUAAGAUACAUACAUACAUAUAUAUAUUGUUUGUAUCAAAGUUUCUUUGUCUUUUUGUUUUUGUUUUGGGUUUUUGGUUUUAAAAUGAGCAAUGUGGUUCAUAUGUUUAACUGGUUUUUCUUGUUGCUGUCUUUUGUGAGGUUUUAUGUGAGUGUUUUGCUAAAGAAAUGAAGAGUUUUUGGUGAAUUUCUGCUUUUCUAUUUAUCCAUCUGGGAUACUUAUAUUCUGGGUUUUCUCAGUUUUGUCUUAAUGUGUUGGAUUUGUUGGAAAUCUUUUUUUUUUUACUCUCUUAAGUUAAAUCUAAAGUUUUUUUUUCUUUAUUGUGUUAAUUUUGCUAAUAAAUGAGAAGCCUUUCUAAAGCUUUUUUUUUUUCUAAUACAAGUUUAUAAAUAUUUGGGUCAUGCAAGAUUCUUCUUUAAAUUUUUGGGUUAUUUGAUUUAUUGUUUCUAAAUUAAAUGAACGUUUUUUUUUCUUUUUUAGUCCUCUGCUUGUCCAAUCAUUUAUUGUGUUCUAUUUACUUAAUACUAUUUUUUAUUUAUAAGCUAACUAAACAUCUUCAUUUUCUGAUUUCUUUCAAAAGGAGAGUUUUUGUUUCUUUUUCUUAGAUAUGUUUCUUUUUUUUUACUUGUUACAAUUAGAUUCUUAAAUUGCUUAACAUUUAUAUUUGAAGGUACCAUUUCAUUGGAAAUUCCAUAAAUCCUUUUCUAGAUUCUUCUUUGGGGUCAUACCCUAGUCACCUUUUUGUCUUCCAAGGUUGAAAUAAAGUGAAAGCAUUGCUUGGAAAUAGAUUUUAAUCACUUGAUGUGCACGGUGUACUCCACCUAUUAAGAGGAGACUUAGUUGGAUAACACUGAAUGUAAUGCAAUUCUUAUUUAAUCUUAGCUAGGAUUGCAUGUUUUUGCUUAGAUUUGGAAUUCAGAGUGCAGAUCAUUCACGGAUCUGCUUGAAAAAAUCAGUUUUAUUUGAAAAAAGCCAUGAAUUAUAUAUGAAACUUGUUUCAGAUCUUUUAUUAUCGUAUAGUACUUGUCAUUCUCAGUGUACUUGUUAAGCCUAAUAUGUUCAGCAAUGGUUUCUUUGUUUAAGAUCUUAUGCAUAUAUCGACAUAGAUUUUUUCUCUUUAUGCAGCGGAAUGGGGAGGGAACUCACGGAUGUGGACAUGGACGGUAAGCCAAAUGGUGUGGUGAAUUCAAAUGGCAACCUAACAGUUUCAGAAGGCUCCGAGUCUAAUAAUUAUGAGGUCAAGGAAUGCACUGCAAAAAACUCGGUCGUGGACAAUGGUCAUGAGAAGCAAGAAGCGCUGGGUGUUAAAAGCAUAAAUUUUGGUACUGACAUCCCUGAAGAUCAGAAGUGCAUGGACAAUGACGAGCUUAGCGCGACUGCAUCGAAACCCAUUGGUGCUGGACAAGCUCACCAUGCUACCUCUAAAACUGGUGCAAAUGGCACCGCAAAUGUCAACUCUGCACUCUCCCCUGCUACCACAAAGGGAUCAGAGGUAACUCCAACUCUAAAUUAGAAAAUUGUUUGGUUUUAAUAUCAGUGAUGUUGCUUAUUUGCUCAUACAUGCAAGGUGCUAAUCUUUUAGAUUUUACCAUUAUUUUCAGCCAAACUCUCCAAUAACUCCUUUGAUCUUGAGGAAGCCAUUGCAACCUUAUGACCGGAAGCAUCCUGAUGAUGAAGAUAACUGGUCCCUCACUUCCUCAUAUCCUUCUCUUUGGUGUUAAGAAGUUAAUAUGUAAUGCUAUGAGCUUGUCGGUUUUUUUUCUCUUCUUUUAAUUAUAUUGUGGAACUUCCCUACCCGAACUCUAUACCAUAUUUCUUCCUUAGCGGUAUCUUGUACAGCUGCGUCUGUUCGAACUGCUAGAUCGAGGGUAACUAUUGGAAGUGCUCCUACUUUUAGAAGUGCUGAACGUGCUGAGAAGCGGAGGGAGGUACAUUCUUAGUCCAAACAGUUUUGAUGCUUUUUUCAGUCAUUGAUGUUUUCUUCAUUUCAUUUUCAAACUAUCCAAAUUAUAAUGUUGUUUUUUUCAAUCCAGUUUUACCAAAAGUUGGAGGAAAAACACCGAGCUUUGAAGGCGGAGAGAAGCCAGUUUGAGGCCCGGACCAAGGUCCAUGGCACUUAAAAUUUCUCAUCCUUAUAUUUAUGCUAGACUUGGUUAGUUUUAACAAAAUCAGGCCUCCUUGCUUUUUUGCAGGAAGAGCAAGAAGCAGCACUUAAGCAGCUUAGAAAGAACAUGGUUGUCAAAGCAAAUCCAGUACCAGAUUUCUACUAUGAAGGACCUCCACGAAAGGUUGAACUGAAGAAGGUAUUCUUUCUAAUCUUUUCUCGUUUGUUUCGAGUCCUCGAAGUCGUUAUCCGGGAAAAUAUUUACCUAUUUUAUCUCCUUCAUAGUACAGAUCAAAUAUACCCUUUUGGCUAUAUAUGUUUCAUGCAGCUUUGGUGGAUAAUUGAACAUUUCAUUCUUGCUUUUAUUUCAUUUCAGCUGCCAUUGACUCGGCCAAAGUCACCAAAUUUUACCCGGAGAAAGAGCUGCGGUGAUGCAGUCCGCUCAUCUCAAGACGAAAAGGCAAAAGCUUGCUGUCAGACUCACCGCCGCAGCCUAGGUAACCAUACCGAACGAUCCACUACUGCAAAUGAGUUCAAAAGUAAAGGUCGGGUCAGUGGACAGACCAGUAAUGGAGCUGGCAAGGCAAAAGAGCGAGCAAAACAGGUAAAAGAGGCAACGAAAGCUGCACCUACUAAAAUCAUUGAGCCGAGUAACGCUAACAUCACUGUUCAAUCAUGAUCAUCUAGUUUUUUUUUUUUUUUACUAACUAUUAAGCUGGGAAAUAGUCUUGAAUUCCCGCACUGCCAUGCCAUAUGGAUGUCCUGAAACUGAGUAUAACUAGGUGGUUUCAUUUUUAGUAGGGACUUGUUUGUUAAGUGGUUUGCAUUAAUGUGAAAUGUAUAUGUUUUGUAAGUUUACAUUGUUACGUAUCUUUAUAUGUAGUAUGAGUUGUUGAUGCUAAUGCAUCCAAUAACUUGUUUUCAUCUGAUAUUCUCUUCUUUAUAUCAUGAAACAUAAUUCGAAUCAUGGCAUGAAUUUUGAUUAAGAUUAAAAAGAAGGGGACGAUUAUGAUAAGAAAAUAAUCUAAUACUAAACAAUGCCCGCCGUGGAGCAGCUUGGUCCCUUCAAAUAAUUACACACAAAAUGAUAGCUGAAAAUAUACAGAAAGAUAUAAGAUAAAUCCCUCAAAAAUCUCUUUUAGGCCCCUAGAAGUUGGCAGUGGUGUCAACAACCAAAAUAAGCGACCAAAUGGACUAUGAUGCAGUGGUUUGGUUUGGUAAGUAAAUCAACCACUUGAUCUGUUGAAUAGACCUUGUUUUGCACCUAAAAAUAUCAACCAAAUGGAGCAAUAUGUUUCAUCCUACUAUGGAACACCGGAUUCUCACACAGGUAUGUAGUGCCAACAUUAUCAGAAAGAAUCCAAGAACAAAAACAAAGCGGAAAGUGAUGUUCUCUUAGUAGAUAAGUGACCAAUUGGUUUCAGCAAGGGAAUAGCAACCGUUCUAUAUUUCGUUUCAGUAGAGGAGUGAGAGACAGCGCUGUUUCUUGGAAAACCAUGAGAUGGGCGUGUUGCUAAGCUAAACAUUGUAGCUAAUAGUGGAGGCAUAGUCAAGAGGAUCACCGCCCCAACCUGAGUUAGAAUAAACAAGAAGUCGUGGAUCAUCUUCUGAUGUGAUAUGAAGGCCAUGGGUGGAAAUUCCAUUGAAAUAGCGCAACAAAAGUUUGAUAGCUUUCCAAUGACUGCCACGCAGGCUGUGCAUAAAUUGAGAGAGCUUGUUAAUUGUAAAGGCGAUGUCAAGAAGAGUAAAUGAUGGACACUACAAUUAUCCAAUAACUUGCCAGUAGUAAAAGGCAUCAAUUAUAGGACUAGUAGGUUAGAGUCUGAGAAGUGCAGCGGAGGAUAUGAAUGGGAACACAUUCACUAUCUUGCAUAUUGACAGUAUGAAGAAGACCUUCAAUACAUUUUUGUUGGGACAGUAGAAGGCCACCUGAAUAAGGGAAAACCUCAACACCUAGAAAAUCAUGGAGGGAACCGAAUUCCUUCAAAGAAAACCGAUUAGUUAUUCUUGAAUGAUAUGACCAACAUAAGGUUCAAAAUUGCUAUUGGCAAUAAUAUCAUCUACAUAUAUUAGAAACACACAAAUUUGCCAAAACUACCUAGAAUGAACAACGACGCAUCAGAGUAAGAGUGUCUAAAACCUUUAGUAACCAAUUAGUUUUAUAGCUUGAUUUACCAAACACAGAGUGCUUGUUUGAUACCGUAAAUGGCUUUUUGGAGUUUGCAUACAUGUGUGGGCAGGGAAUGAUGCUCAAAACUUGGCAUGUAACCAUUAUACACCCGGUUCGAAAGACGAUCGAAUGUAAAGUGUCGCAUUAAUUACUGAAACAAUGUAAAUAAACGAUCGUACCAACAUUUCUCACAAUAUUUUAAGGUAAAAAUAUGCUAAUCAUUGUAGACGAAAAACAAAUUCAGAUGUGCUCACAUGCGAUGUUCCGAGGUCAAAUAGUAAAAAACGUGACCAAGUUAUGAAUCUUGGGUUAAACUAACAAAAUGCAAUGCUAUGUCUCGAGAUACGUAUCUUCUAUUUUCAAAUUUCAGCUUUCAAAUUCUAUGUCUCAAGACAUCACAACCUAUGUUUUUAAUUUUAGCUACGAAAUUUUAAGUUUCUAGAUAAUAGAACCAUGUCUCGAGACAAUACACCUCAUGUCUUGUGACAACUAUGAAAUGUCUUAAGACAUACACCUGAGAAUGCUUUUAGAUAUCAAACGGUCCCUAAACAAAAUGGACAUGCUACCAAAAGUAAAAGAACAAGUUUGACAUGAACCUUCACAAUAAGCACACUAAAUCAAAUUUUGAUCAUGAAAGUAAAUCAUAAGCAUGAAAAUCAAGGUACAAAUUCAUAAUAAAAAUCUAAUAAACACCAAAAUAUCAAAGUAAAAGUGUCAUCAUACCAAUAUGUCUCAGAACUAAUAUAAGUAAUGAACCAAAAAUAUUAUGGUAAUCUAAUAAUGUACGCUAUAAGGAAUUUCUAGUGUGUAUAUAAUAUGACCUAUCUAAUCUUUUUUCUAAAAAUGUACAAAGAACUACAAAACGAAUCGAGUUAACCCGUAAUGUACGCUAUGGCAUGCUACAAAACCAAAGGAUCGUGGUGUUGAUAUCCAGCAAAGGUGGAACGCGUCUAAAAGUGGAUCUGAGAUUGAGAUUUGCAGACUGGCUUUUUGAUCAGGAUGGUCACAGAUUUUGAUUUCUUCUUCAACGAUAUUAAUUGUUAUCAAUAACUCUCACAAUAAAUCCAAUUGUUGCUACUUCGUCUACAACAUGACCACCACUUCAAUCUUUUUUAUAUACACAUGUCAGUCUAAGCAACAUAAUAUUUAGAUUUCUGUCAAAACGCUUUCGUUGGAAACAGAUAAAUAAUAUGUGAUACUAUCAAAACGAUUAAUCUAUAUUUAGAUUUAUUCCGUCAUUUAUUUUGAUUUACUCAAUCAAAGGGUAACAUUCUAAAUCUUACAUUUAUAAAAAUAUUAAACUUUUAUUAAAUAAAACAUAUAAAUAAAUAUCCAACCACGAUUGAAACCUGAAUACUGAGUUUUUCAUAAAACAGAGUAACAUAGGAUAAAUUAAUAAAACCGUAACCUGCUUUAUAUAAUCAAUACAUACUACAUAUAUCGAUCUAAAUUCCACGACUACCCCUAGCUCGCCAUCAAAUUUACACCAUCUGCAAAGGGAAGGAAAAAAAAAAAAAAAGAACAACCUCCUACAAACAAAUACUGCUUUCUCUUCACUUCUUUGCCUUCUUUGGCGCCGCUUUCUUAGCCGGAGAUUUAACACUCUUCGGCUUCUUGACAGCGACUGUCUUCUUUGCUGGAACCUUUACUUUCUUCCCUGGCGAACUCUUCUUCGCCGUCUUCGCUACCUUAGUUGGCUUAGCCGCUGGUUUAGCUUUGGCCUUAGUUGUAGUAGCCUUCGGUUUCGCCGCAACUUUAGCCUUUGCCUUCACAGGCGUUCCAACUUUGGCUUUGGCUUUCGGUUUCGACGCGGUUUUAGUCGCCUUCGGCUUGGACUUUGAGGCGGCAGUGGUAGCUGCAGAUUUAGGCUUCGCGGCGGCAGGCUUCUUAGCUACGGCGGCCGGUUUCUUAGCUGCGGCAGAAGCCGAAGGCAGCUUAAAAGAGGCUUUCACUUUGACAAGCUUUCCAGAAGCAACAAACUUCUUCGUCUGAACAAGUAGGACUUUGCGGAAAUUCGCCGGUAAUUGCUUAUACUUCUCUUCGAUGAAUUUCGCGAUCGCAUAUUGGCUCGAUCCUGUCCUCUCUUUCAACGA